GCCCCUUCAAACCUUAAUGUCUAGUCCCGCUACUGGUCCCGUCACUAUAUAACAACUAGUUAAGCCCUUCUGAUAAUUAUCCCAUAAAAAUCGCAGAAAUUUUUUUAAGUGUUUUUAGUUCAAAAUUUUCCUUACAUACAAACAUGAUAAUUAAGGGCCAAAUCCAACUUAAGGAACAAAAAAAAAAAAAAAAAACAUAACAAACAUAAAAGUGCUUGCUAACUUUCAAUGGCAACAACGAUCACUUCCACUGCUUUUUCGUGAACCAAUGUGAAUGGCGUAAAAAUAAGAUGUUGAAGGUUUGUGUCUCGUGUGAACACCAAUUAAAAAAAAUGUUUAAAGAGUUUGUAAGGUCAAAAUAUUUAGCAAUUCGUAUGAAUUAUUUUUUAUUAUCUUCUGAAUAUUAGCAAAAAAAAAAAAACAAAAAGGUAAGUUCCUAUCUUCCCUCUUCUUUACUGUCUUUAAUAAGGGUAAAAGUUAUGUUUACACAGUUGAAGAACAUGUACACACUUGCCACUUGUGUGAAAAUCAGAAUAUAUAACAGCCGAUUUUCAAAAGAACUAUUAUAAUAAAAAUAAAUAUCAAUAUGAAAUUCUUCUUUAAAUGAAGAAAGAGCAGAUGUACGCACAGUCUCUGGCUUCUGUAAACACAUAUAUUUAGAAAUAUAAAUCGAUAACAAGUUGGGAUCACUAUUCACCCCUUUUGAAAAUCUUACAAUCGUCCACAUAUUUGAAAGAUUGAAAGUGUAUUUCAAGAUCAUGUGGCUGUAUUUGGAUUGAGAGAUUUGACGAAUGAUUUGAAAUAUUUUGAAAUCCCUUUAGCUCAUACGGCUGAUUCGACAGGUAUUUGGAUUUGUAAUCUACUAGCUAAUUUAAUGCUUAGAUAUUUUUAAACAAUUAAUGGAUUAGAAAUCCAACUAUCUCUCAAGUAAUCCAAACAAUUUAGAGGAAUUUAAAAAAAAAUUUAAAUCUUUCGUCAAAUCUCUCGAUCCAAUUGUAAUUUGAGAAAAUUCAAGUACAGUCACAGCUAAUUGUGAGAAUCACAUGAAAUAAAGGUUAAACCUCUGAGCUGCCCAUACUUUGAAAAAAAAAAUUAGUUGUUGCCUAUUUGAUCAACCCAAAAAAAAGAGGAAAAAAAAUUAGCAGUUCUAGCAAAAAAUUGGACAUUAAAAGUCUACCAAAUUAUUAAUUAUGUUUUGUUCUCGUGUUUACAUCCAAUUCUUUACUGCAUGCAUACUUUAUAAACUUGCAUUACGUUAAGUAGGAAGAUUAACAUUAUUAUGGGUCAUGUGAUGCCAAUCUAGCACAUACAUUUGAGUGUGAAAGAUCCACAUUUUUCCAUGCACAUGCUCGUAGAAAAUCUGAUUAGUGCGCAAGACUAAGAAAUUCAAGGUAAGAGACAAGUGAGUGGUAAGUGGUAACCACCACUCACUCUGAUAAUGAUAUGUUCAUUUUAGCCAUUUAACUGUUAACUAUGACUUAUUCCGAAGCUACAGGACCUGGAAACUAUGAUGAAGCAAAUUGGCACCUUCCAGCUGCAGGCUAGUUUUGCCAGCUAAUUCAUUUGCCAAUCUCUCUUCAUUUUAAAACUCUAUCAAGUGAAUUCCUAGAAUGAGCUUCGAUAAGAAUAAUAAUGCAAGUCGGGGAAUUUGAUCCCUUGAUCUAUACUCAAGGAGAGAUUUACUGGCCAAUUCAGGUCACUCCGUUGGCCUGAAUUGGUUAUAAAUGCAAUACUUGAGUCCCACACUUUCAACCUGAGACACCACUAGCUAGGAUGAGGAGAACUCUCUGAAUAUUUUUUUUGUAAGAAAUUAAACAAUGGUGAAAUGAAAUGGGACAGCCACAAAAUGUGAGGGUCUAAAACUCCAAUUACUUCUUAAAUUAUUAAUAAAUAAGUUGAAAUACGCCAGAGGUAGAUAAAAACUGGAGCAGGUUUAUCCUACAGGUCCAGCCUACCCCUAAUAUAUAUGUUUCAGCCAAUUUUUAGUUUUAGAUUUCUUCUCAUUUUGACCUUGAAUAUUCCAUUGCAGACGUAAUUAUGUGUAUUUGCUUUCUGUUAAUGUGAACGGUUAGAUACUUAUAUAACAUGGAGUUUGUCCAAGAAAAAUAAGAUGACAGAAACCUAGAAAUAUAAUGAAGCAAAUUUCUACCUUCUUAGCUGGCUAGCUUAGUUGGCUUCAUAUGCCAAGUUUGUCCUAAGUUCUUAUUGUGCGACUCUUAUUUGCGCCCAUGUGGUUGAACUUGUGCAACUCACAACUUACAGUAGUAGUUUUUUUUUUUUUCCUCCUGUUAAAGCUCUAUGUGAAGUGAAUCAAAGCUUUAAAUAUACUCUUUCAUCUUACUCAAAUAAUUAAAACAACAAAAAAAGUGAAGGUGGGGGAGAAAUAAAUGAUAGUACAAGGUAAAGUCAUUUAUUGACUGAUUUACACUUGAAAAAGGUACAAAGAAUUUACCAUAUAAGCAAUUAGUAGAGAUAGAAAAAAAAAAAAAAAAACUUACUUUAAGAGUAAUCAAUAUAAGGUUGAAGAAAACAACAUUAUGGGACAAUAUCCAAUUCAAUUCAUGAUGCUGGUUGUUACAUGUAUGAAGUCACAUUCCUUUCCUCUAUUUGAUUUGAUUAUAUGAAUGAUAAAAGAAAAGGCACAAGCUUUAUACAAAAGCAGGCUAAGACUGAAAGAUAUUGAAACAGCCAUACAAAAACUGAUCAGACCAAUGGAGGAGGCAAGCAAUUCUGAGCCUCAUACUGCAACCCUAGCCUCCAACUUUCUUGAUGUAAAACAAGAAAGAAACACUAGUUUGGAUUCGGGCCAUUUACCAUUCAAAGAAUGAGAUGAAACAUUACCAAAGAACUGGCUCGUUUGAACCUUAAAAUGCAAAAUAUGGACAAGAAUGCUGUGGUAUCUAAAUCUUCUAUCACGAUUUAUACAAGAACUCUGAAACUUGAAUGGCAGAGACUUCUAUUCCCCCAGUUUGAGAAACUCUCAAGCCUGGCCUGAUUCCUGAAUGCUCAAUCCUCAUAAGACGUCUUGAUUUUCCUUUAUAAUAAGAGAAUUGAUAAAUUCAUCAUUUGUAUUCAUCUGGUCCACAUUUUUGUCCUGAUUGUCGGUUGUCUCUUGUGUAUCACUUGAAACUGGAUCCCUGUAAGGGAAAGGGAUGCAUAUUGCUGUCAAGAAAAACCAAAUGAGAUUUGCACCGCUCAGGCCAGCAAGUAUCCAAUAAUAGUGAUCCAAUCGACUCUGAUUCAAGUCAUGCUGGAACCAACUCUUUUUCCCCCCUUUCUUGCUAAUUUCACCCACCACAUAAACCGAGAAAACACUUCCAAUGGCUCCCAGACCGGAUAAUCCAGGAUUGAGGUAGACAAGGUACUUUUUCAUUGAUGGAGGACUCUGAUCAUUUAAGAAUGGAGCAACACUGUUCUCAUAAAACGCGUCUAGUCCACCAAGAAGAACAAAUUGUGGAACAAGCCAAAAAACAGUCAUUGGAAUAUCCUCAUCAGGUUUGUCAACUAAACCAUGACUUCUGAUCACAUGUAUCCUUCGAGUUUCAAUGAUGGAAGCAACAAUGCAGCAGGAUGCUGAGAAUAUUGUAGCUAAUGCAAUGCCAAAUGCGGGUGCAUACUUUUUUUGGCUGGCUUCUCCUAACCAGUUUGAGAUACGGUCAUACACCCUUUUAAAAACUGUCUUUGCUGUUCCAUACAGCACCAGAAGGAUUGAAUCAGGGAACUUUAGUAUUCCAACCUUGUAAUUCAUGUGGUUUGCUUGCUCCACAAAGUAUGUGUUUCCAAUGGCUGUUACUACACCACAAAUUAUGCAGGUGAACCAAAUUGGAAGCAUGCGAAUUAGGACUUGUCUCUCUUUACUGUGAGUCCUUAAUCUGAUGACAGCCCUGUCAGAGUACCUAAGGAAAGAAACAAAAGAAUGAAAGUAGACAACAGCAAGCAGUACCAGGCCAGGAUCAGCAGAUUCAUUAUCUGUUAAUUUAAAACAAAGAAAUACAUUUACGUUUGGAGCAGUCAAACCCGGAGCAUAUAGGCAUUGACAAUAUGAGACUAAGGCUGAAAGAUGAACCGAGCUAUAUAAGACCACAAUGGAGUUUGCCUGGCCCGAUAAGAGCUCACUUGACUUAAAAGUCAUUUUCACUUAAUUAAACAAAGCCUGAUCAAGAGUUAGUGUUGGUUAAUGUUUUAAGCUAGUUUCAAGCUUGGCUUGAUGAGAUGAAACUUGAAAUUUGCAAAUGGUAAAUCAAGCUUCUUGAGCUUGGCUUAAUAAGAGCUUGUUAAUACUCAGCUCAAAUCUCAACCAAUCCAUGUUUGAACACAAUUUCAGACUCAUUAAAGAUAUUAAACCACACGCAAAACGAUAGUUUGCUCCUUGUUUAGGCUCAUUAGCAUACCUUGUACAUCUAAUUUUCACAAACUUGUCAAUUGCAGCUUAAAAUUGUCAAUUUGAAUCAUGUGUGGAUGAGCUAAAAAGUGAAGAACUAACACUAACCACCUGUUCAUAGUGAGAUGGCAUCUAGAUUAUAUCAAUCUUUUGAGCAAACUGAUUGUAUGAUGCUUGUAGAGUUAAUUUGUAUGACAGAGUAUUGUUGUCUUGUAAAGAACUUGUUUCUCUGGCGCCAAUAGGUCAACCAAAUGAAAGACAAAGGGCAAAGCAUGAAGAGUGUGUAGAACAAACCUGAGUUUACUGUCCUUGUAUCCACAAAAACACAGCGAGAAUACAAGUGUUGCCACCAAGGUACAAAUUGCUGGAAUUCCAAAGCGGAGUUUCCACGGUUUCACAUAUGGAAGACCAAUAAGUACACCAACUGCAACAAUGAGCACGAAAAUAAAGCCCAAUAUUCUCAAGUCUGAUAUGCUGCCUCCAUUUCUUUCUUUCUGCCUGUUAACAAGUUCCAACAUUGCCUCCAAUGGUUGAAAUUGAAGUUUCAACAAAUCCUCUUCGAGUGUGUCAUUAGGCUGCUGCCUUCUGUUUUCAGUAACUGGUGGUGGUGGUGGUGGGUCUUCGUAUUCUGUCAUGAAAUUAACAUCAUUUUUGCCUUUGUUCCUCCUCAUACGAGCGAGCUGAAUUACCAAUCCCAUAUUAUUUCGUCGCCUGUGAGAAGUAGUAUCAUGAACUGGGACUGACCUCCUUUCCAGUUGAUCCAAUGCAAAUGUAACUAAUGAAACAAUAUGCCCACUUAUUCCAACAGCGACCAACGCCAGACCUGAGUAAAAAAGGGCUUUUUGUGUGUGACCAAUACAAUUAGGCUGGUAUUCAUUACAGGUAUGUGUUGCCUUGUGCAAAACUGGCGGUGUAGACAUUGACAGAAACCCCAAGCCCUGUUCAUUUUGAGUGAAUUUUUAAUUCAACAAAGUCCAAUUAAACUAAAAGUAAAAACUCCACUUCAAUAAUCAAGUAACACAUUACACACUAAGUAUUUUCUCUGAAUUAAAGGAAGGGAGGAAGAACUGAUAAAGAACUUGCCAGCAGAAGAUCUUACAGUAGAAAAGGCAAUACUUGAGAAAAGCAGUAUCCAGAAAUUAUCCACUCCACAAUCAACAAAUGAGAAAAGAAAUAGAGGGACACAUUUAGCAAGGCCAUUGUACACAUUCAUUAUUCCAGCAGCAUGAGUAAAUCCAAUUUUCCAAACAUCUGAUAAGUAUUUCUGCAUAAUCCACGUUACAUACGUUGCCAACAUAUCAGCCCAUAUCAGAACUGCUCGACAAAGAAAGGAAUCAGAAUUAGUAUUUUCGCAGAAAAGGACUAAUUUUCGAAACAGAGGAAGUCAAACAAGUAUUAAGGUUUUUGGUGAAUCUAAGAUGAAAAGAAGUACCCAUUAUUCUCAGAAAUGCCAUUUUCUUUCGGCGUUAUGGAUUAUCCUUUUUCUCCUGCAAUCCAAAGUGCAAGAAAAAUAGCAUUAGGACAAGGGAAAUCAAGCUGAAUAAUCCUAAAAUUUCCAAAACCAUAUGAAACAGAGUACAGACUUAAUUUUUCUUUACCUCCACUUGCUGUCUAGGAUGGGGAAAGAAGAACAACAGAUUGAGAAACUUGUCUUUAAGAAGUAUGGGUUUGAUUCAGAAGUCAGUCAACUGGUUUGCUCCUGCGCUUAGAUGCUACCCUUUCAUUGCCACCUGCAAGUUUUAUUUUGUUUGAUUAAAUAUUGGAGUCCAGACCGUGCAUGUUGAUACCAUUUGACUGAAAUAAAGCUAAAAUAGUACUGCAGAACUGCAGUUACCUGGAAGCUCUCAAGAAAGAAUAUAGAAAUUGAAAGGAAAGCAAAAUAUUUUUAAAUCCGAACCGACGAGUGAAGGCGAAUAGCUUCCGGUUCGCGGUUCGGCUGGUUCAGCUCAUUUAAUCAAUUUUUAUUUUUUUUAAUACUAAAAAUUUUUGAAUAAACUGAUGUGUUUGUUUUAGAAAAUCAAAAAUUAGUGAAACCAGUUGAACCUUUCAGUUUUUUUCGAUUCUUGAGUGAAUUUGAUCCAUUUAAUUAAAUUUUUGAAUUAAUUAUUGAACCGAAUCCAAGAUAUAACCGAUUUGCGAAUCGAACCAACUGGUUCAGUCUUAUUUUCAAGACAUUGAAGGAAAGUACAGAACUGGGCUUGUACUAUUUGGAUAUAAAAAACUUUUUUUUUUGGGAUACAUUUGAGAGCAUUUCUAAAUCAGUCCUAUCGUUAUUUAUAUGAGUGUCCAAAGUAUACAUCAAUGUGUGUAACUAAUGGGAAAAAUAUUUGUAAAAUUUUUUUGAGUACAUUUAUCGAAAACAUGUUAAGGAGAAUUGAUUUUAUAUUUCACAAUAGACUUGUAAAAAAUUCACCAAAAUAAAACAUAGUGACAAAUAAUUAUAUGGUAGGUUUAUAAUCAUAAUUUAUCGUUGAGAUAUCAAGAUUUAAAGAUCCUAAAAUCUUAAUUUUCACAUCUCACAUUCUAGAAAAGAAUUUUAGAACAAUAAUUAGAAAAAAUAUUAUUUAGUAAAAAGACAUAUUAGAAGUGGAUAAUUAUAAAGAGUAGUUUAGAAAGUACCUAAGUGAUAAUUUUUUUGUUUACAACAAAACCCCUCUUCCUUCAUAUAUAGUAUUGGUUAAAUUAAAAAAAAAAAAUCUGAGUAUGAUGAAAGCACAAAAUAUAUUUACUUCAAUUUCACUAUAAUUUAAAAGUCACCAAUUGUAUGGCUUCAAAUUUGAACCAUCAUUACGUUUGUCACUUGCUUAACGAGUUUAUUUUUUUUUUUUUGGAUUUUUUUCUUUUUUCCUGAAUCUAAGGAAAGGCCUCGGUCUUGGAGACAAUUUCAUGGAUUGUUUGUCACUGGUCAUUAAAUUGGGCCAAGCAAUUGAAAGAAAAGGAAAGCGCUUUUAAAUGGAAGAGUUGGAGCAAAAUCAGCUGGACAGAAAUUUAGGAUACAAGGCCCAAACGGUUGUCCACCAGAGCCGUUGAGGACCAUUGCAACACCUCUAAAUUAAUGAAGUUAACCCUCUAAGAAAGAGAGUGUCAAAAAGACAAAAAAAAUCCCUCUAAGAAAGAGCUUGAGAGCAUAUAAAGCAUGAAAAGCACUUUGUAUAAUUUGAUGGAGCUAAUAUUAUGAAGCAAAAUAUCAAAAAAGUAUAUAAAACAUGUGUUCAAAGUUGUGUUUAUUCUUUUAACUUUCUUUUUACAAAUGUUAAUCAAUGAAGAGCACAAAUAUUUUAAUAGCAUUACAAUCAUAAAAAAGGGUAGGCAUUUUACUAUUAUUACAUUGGUAAGAAAAUAGGAAGCUAGUAACAUGACAAUUGGCUGGGUACCAAAUUUGAUUUAUUAAUGCAUAUAUUUGAACAAGCUAAAUUCAACCUUUAAGUCAUUGUAAAAAUCAUAAAUCAAUGUAUUAGUAGAUAUAUCUCAAGUGGCUAAAUUGAAAUUUAAGUUAUCGCAAAAAUUGCUCGUUCGCAGUUACCAAAUUAAGGGCCAAAUGAAAAUGACUUGUACUCCAUUUUAAAAAAUUAAGAAUUAUUCGACCUUGCAAUUAUUCCUUUCUAAUUUUAAAUGUUAGAUAUUCAAAACAUUACUACAUUGGUAAAAAAAAUUUUGAAAUUUAUUGACAUGAUAAUCAAUUGUACAUCGAAAUUCAUUCAUUAAUCAGUAUGUUUGAAAUGGAUAACUUAAUUGACAUUGCUAAGAAAUUGGAAUUGUUUACAUGAUAAUCAAUUGCAUAUUAAAAUUUAUUCAUUAAUCGAUUGGUAUGAAUUGGCUAACUUAAUCGAAUUGUUAUGGGUAGUUGUAGCUAAAAGAAAUGCACUAUAAAGAAAAAAAUUUUAAAGUGUACUUAUAAAGUGGGUAUGUAAAAAUGUUAGAUAUUAAAAGCACACGAAAAAAAUGUGCAUGAGCCUUUAAAUCAGCAUUAAUUGAUAUGAAAAGACGAUAAAGCCCCAAGAAAAUCCGGAAAGGACCGUGAAACCGCGAUAAUUUCCUCUUCCAAAGACCACGCGUGCAAUUUUCCCCGCUCAAAAACCCUCUCAAAACCCUCCAUCGACCUCCCUCUCCUCCUCCUCCUCCUCCUCCUCCGUUGACCACCAUGGAACGGGACCCCUGUCCUGAUCGUAUACUGGAUGAUAUCGGCGGCGCUUUUGGCAUGGGCGCCGUAGGGGGUGGAGCGUUUUACUUUCUCAAAGGCCUAAAGAAUUCCCCCAGAGGAUCUCGGCUCCUGGGCGCCUACCAAACCGCCCGCAUGAAAACGCCAGCAACUGCCGGCGGCUUCGCCGUUUGGGGUGCCUUAUUUUCCCUCUCCGACUGCUCCCUCGUCUACCUCCGCCAAAAGGAGGAUCCGUGGAACUCCAUCAUGGCCGGGGCCUUCACGGGGGGGUUCCUACAAAUGCGCCAGGGCUUUGCCUCCGCUUCUCGGGCUGCUUUAAUUGGUGGAGGUUUAUUGGCCCUCAUAGAAGGUCUUCAGAUCGCUAUAAAUCGAUUCGUUGCAGCUCAACAGCAACAAAUUAUAUAUGUUGAUCGUAAUAACGUGCCUAUUGGCAUGGGUCAUCAGGGUAAUCAGGACCUGCGGGAGACAGCCGGUGCUUCCGGCUCAGCGUCCUGGUUUGGAGGGUGGUUUGGUGGUGGUGGAAAGAAAGAGGAAGAAAAGAGUGGAGCCAAGACGGAGAUUUUGGAGAGCUUUGAUGCUCCUUUGCCACCGACUUUUGAGUUCAAGUGAAAUUUCUAUGCUUUUUCACUACUCAGUGGGAGUGAUCAUAACUAUGGUUAGUCAAGUACAUUCAUUCUUUUUGGAGAAUAGAUUGAUAUUGAAAUUUUACGUCUUACAUUGUUGUUAAUUUUAAUUAAUCCUACAAGGAUUCUCUGGUAAAGGGAAAUUGAUUGUUGAGGUUAAAUAUUUGACACAGUGUUAAUUUAGUAGUGACAGAUUGGCUUAGUGAGAAAUCUUGAAUUCUCAAUUGAAUUAAUUUGUUUCUCUUGGUUAAUGUUUUUUAAUUUAGUUUUUUAAUCCUCCUAUUGAUAGCGUGAAUUGUGGUGUAUGUUUAUCACCGAUUUGGCCAGUGCAAGGCAGAGUUGGUGCCAUCAAUUUGUGGUUGAGACAACUGGUAUACAUGAAAGAAGUUAGAACUAUGUAGAUUUGUUCUUUUAACAAGUACAAUAAGUUUACAGUUGCUAAUGCGAAUGAUUGUGAGUUGAACAUUGGCUUUGUUUGGAAAGCAAUUUUCCAAAGCAAAAUUCCUAUGUUUUCCGUGAACACAUUUUCCAAUCACCUGUUUACCUCAAAUAUAUCAAAUUUCUACAAAAGAAAAAAAAAAUCUAGAAAAAUGCAAUUCAGCCAUUGAUCCCUGCUGAAACUUUAGUGUUUUCAGAACAGAAUUUAUCUGAGUCUUGACAUUCAAGCUUCUACUAACUGGAAAAAGCAAGAAGCCAAGGAAGUAUAUCAAGGCCAGAACAAAAAUGCAAACUGAAAUCACAAGUACAUUGUGCUGCCAAACGAUUUUAGACAAGAACAAUGGCCAGUGCAAAAUUAUUUGCUCUCAACCAGAUGAGUCAUGAUCCAAAAGCAGUCCACUAUAAAUACAUCUCUUCACGUUACAAGAAGCCUGACAGAAGUUUAAUUAUCAUUUGGGAGUAUCUAUAUCAAGCUUGUGCUUUAUACAAGAAAAGAGAGUUGGAAGACGAUGUUGAGCUUCCAGACUUCCAGUGAAAAUUAAACUUGUAGCUAUGGAUAUAAUUCAUAAGAAGAAAGAAGAUGGUCUUGAUGCUACUUACAUGUGAAUGCAAAGAGAUACUCAUUCUCCAUCUGCAAACUUCUGUUAACAGAACUUGAGUAAACGAAUUUUCUCGUUCCCUUCACUCUUCUGCUCAUUGACAAUUGUCUCAGCUGAAUGCAGCAAUUCGUUGUUGUACCUCCUUAACAGAAUUUCCUCUAGAUUUUGAAUUUCUGCAAAAAAAAAACAAGGGAUCUCCACAAGUUCAAGAGGCUCUCCCACUACAAGUCGCUCAAGGCUGGGAAGGGGAUUUGAGCUGGCCUUCCAGUGUAUGAUGUCCAAGUUUUGACAUUUCUAAGAAUUUGAGCUUUCUGUAUUCUUCAUCUUCCAUAUCCCAUAUCUUCCCCCCAAAAGGCAUGCUGUCGCAAUUUAAGUACCUCAAGAUAUGGCAGCUUCCUAAUUGUUGACAUUGCCCUCCAUGGUAGACCCAACUUAUACAGGGUUAGUUUCCUAAGCCAGGAGGGAAAGGUAAAUCCCUUAAACUGAAUGCGCAACCAACAAUCGAACACUUGCCCAUGAGGACUUUCUCAAUAAACUAAAUUGCCUCAGAUAGAACUUAGGAUAAAGAAUCUUAAUCCCAAUAUGUUAAGGAUGCAAAAUUAUACUAGUACACCUAUAAAUAUACGCACUCUAUACUUGUUCACCAUUUUAUCAACCUGCAUCACCUGUUCCGAACUAUCUGAUUAUCAUUCUAACCGAAAUAUUUUCCAAAUGCGUCAAACAGGUAUGUACCGAUGUACUUGCGUCUGUGCAUGGGCUAUGUAUUAACUUGAAAAUUUGUUUGUUCAUUUCAUUUUGCAUGUAAGAUUAAUACGGUUAAUGGAUGGUGGCAACAGCUACUCGAAUCUGAAUAGAUCCAAACACAGAUUGUUUUAAGUAGUGUAAUUAUGUCUAUAGUUUGCGGUAAUAUCCUUCUUAUUGCUUUAUCGAAGUUAAGGAUGGAUUUUUAGCUGAAGAAAAUCUGAAUAAGGAAUGUGGAUUGCAAGAUUUGUAUCCAAUUAAUGUAUUUCUUACCUGAGCUUAUACCAUUAACUUCUCACUGCUCCAACAUUUCAUCUGGCGAGCUGUUGUUGAAGUUCACGCAGAUCAGCUUUUCCACAAUCUGGCCUGUCUUGUUUUCCAGUAGUGCCUCUUCUCUAUCCGCUAAAAACUGAUGAUGCAUAAUUCGUUUUCUACGACUGUAUUGUUUGUACUGUUACAAUUUUAUUGGAUAAAGUGUUUGUGCAUUUACUGUCAAGUGUCAACCCUUAACUGUGGAUGUGAUCUCUGGCAAAAAUUAAUUACUCUGCUUCAGGUUCAGAUUCCUUUGCUCUGCUCUUUGGGACUUGCAUAAUUACAUUUGUAUACCUAUGAACUUUUGAAAGAAGUUUAACAAAUAAGGGGCGAAAAGAAAAAGAAAAAGAAAAAACAGUUGGUGCAAUGAUAACAAACGUAAAUAGAAACUACUGACACCCCCCGGCGCAGCUCAGAAUAUCCAUUGAAAGGUAAUGGAUGUAUUUCUUCAUUGUACAGAGCUACAACAGAAUAUAGAUACAAGAGUUAAUUCAGUCACUGAACAAGGUUAGCUUGCAACAUCACUAUAACCAAUUUGGUUAGGAAUCGUCAAUGCUACAUGAAGCUUGAGCUCUUGUUUAGAUGAGACACUAUCUUAGAACAAUAGAAGUAGUGUUCUUGAUAAAUGCAAAACCAUGUCAGGAUCUGGAAAACCAACAGUAUUGAGUAGACCUUCAUAAUUGAGACCAGGGCAUAUAUAUGAAGAAAGCUUGACCUUCAGCUCCAAAUAUUUAUCCCUCAAGGACCUGGAAAAAAAAGUAAAGAAAUGAUAAAGCUGCAAUUUAAUUGGAAGAUCAGUUCAAGAUAUCCAGUGAUUAGCCUUUGUUGUACCAACUGAGCAGAAACAUACCAACUUUUGAUCAUAGGCUUCAUUCUCAGAACAAUAUGGAAAAAGUUUCAUGUCUAGCGGUAGUAAAUUCUGCACAUAUUUCAUGCUGAAAGGAUGUAGAUCAAAGCAGGCCAAAGACAACCUUCUCUCAAAAUGUUUUUAUUUUAAGUGAUCACAUGGUCAAGUAUUCACUUGAAUAAUUGAAGAAACGUACACUACAAAGUUGUUGGGUUGGAUCUAGCUUCAUAAACUUAUGCAAACUGUACACCAUCUGAUAAUCGAGUUCAACAGACUUAGUAAGAUAUGAGAUGCUUAAAGAUAAAACUGACUUUUCCUAAACUUGGGAGAUGGAAGGAUUAGAUAGCAUGAAGUACGAGGAAGUUGUAUCAAUUUUUCAUUGGACAAGAUUUAUAUCUUCACUUCUGAAGCUUGGGACAAGUUUCUGGUUAGUUCCUUGUCCAUGUUAUGUACUCUCAUAAUAAGCUGAGGAAUUUCUUAUCCAUAGCUAUCUAUACUCAUAAAAAAGUGUGUUGGAUGAAUUAUUAUUUUGGUGUUUCUUACUUUUUAGAUCUACCUAAUAUACUCUUAAUUAUAAAGAUGAUGUACUGGACCUUAGCAUAAUCUACCUAAUGUACCUUAACAUAAUGCUUACUAUAAUGGACAAAUAAGUCAUUAGAGCAUUAAAUGCUAAAUCUUUGAAAAAUCAUUGCGAAACUUUCAUAUAUCAUAGUAGAAGUCCACUCAAUGAAGAUCUUCUUCUUGUGUCAAGCUAGAACAGUAAUGAUACAGAAAUACUUAGUGUAAGGAUUUACUUGUAUGAUAUCUGUAUCAUACCCCGGCGAGAUUUUGUGAAUAGAGAGUAGCUAGCAACUAUUAAUUGAAACAAAAGCAACAAUACAAAACUUUCUUGACCUUAAAGCUUUAAACUUCAUCCUAACAUCAUUGUGUUGCCAAUUACUUCCUAGAGAUAACAAAUCCUUUUUCUGUCAAUGUUGGUCAAAACCAAUAAUGAUCUCCAAGCUUUUAUAUAGUUAAGCAUGGCGGUGGGGGUCCAGUCGAGUUGCUCAGCAGGAGCUCAGUCAAAGUUCAACUCAAGCUCGAUCUAAUCGAGUCGAAUUUGAGCAUUUACAUAUUCUGUUCAAAAGCUCAUUGAGCUUUUCGAGCUUCAUAUUUAUAUAUUCUUAUAUUUUUAUUUUUUAUUUUUUAUUUUUAUAAUUAUUAAAUUACCUAGAAACCUAUAUUCUUAAAAUAAUUAACACAUCUUACCACUUGAGCUCAAGCUUGAUCUCAAUCUCAAUUUGCUUUUUGAGCGAGCUUGACCUCGAUCUCGAUCUCCAGCACCUUAUAUUUUACACAAGUCGAGUUUGAGCUUAAAAGUUGAAAGUUCGUCGAACUCGUCGACCACGGGCAUAUGGGAGUUCACUUUGAUGGAAGACCAGCAGCAUAACAGCUACGAGUUCGCUUAGAUGGGAGCUCACCAGCUUGAAGGCAGUAUAAUGUUUAGCUGGCAUAACAGUGAAAAAGAUAUUUGAGAAGUCAAAACCAUUUAUGCAGAUUCGAUAAGGCAGAAAAGAUUAACCUUUGUCUUAAAUAUCAAAAUCUACCAACAUGAAACCCAAAAAAAAAAAAAAAAAAACUUAAAAAAAGGCUUGUCAUUUUCAUACAAGGGGAAGUCAUAAACUUUUCUUCGAAAAUAAAAUUUUGGAUUGAGCAAGGAGAAAAAUGAACUAAACUUUGUUAAUUUGGCAUUUUAACAGGAACAAUGAUAACUAAUUUUUAUCAUUUAUACUUGCUUUGAAGCGAAUGUAGCUCAAAUUCUACAAUUUAGAUGGUUUCCAUCCAAAGUACAUAUCAAUUCAUAGCCAAAUGGGCUUAUGUGGACUUAUUAUUAUUAUUAUUUUUUUAAAAAUCUAGGAUGUUUUCUAAACCUUUGCACAGACCACAAGGGUUUACUGGAUUUUACACUACUUGUAAAUGUAUCUGAAUUGCUUCAAGGCAAAUGUUUGAAGUGAUGAAGAAAUUUGUGUGUGUGUGUGUGUGUAUGAUUGUCUUUAUCAGUUAAAGAAGUAAUAGAACUUAAUGUAUGCAAUCUUUUGUCAUUUAAUGCUUUUAAUCAUCCUAAUCUUUUUUUUUUAAUGCACCAAUGAUAUAGACAAGAUUUUACUUGAUUCUACCAUUUAUUGUAACAAAGUUUAGACAAUCUUUGAUGCUAGAAAUUGCUUUUGCAAUUGAAGAUUGAUUCAUAAAGAGAUUAGUUUCUCAAGGGAAAAGGUGGGAAAAGGAUUAAAAAAACAAAAAAAAGAACUGCUGCAGAGAGUUUGAAAAUUUUCCCAUAUAGAUUUUAUUUAGUAUAAAGAUGCAGGAAGUUAUGAGAACCAAAUAUAAAACAUUCCUGCUUCUCUGCACCAAUAUAUGUUGUAGCAUGGAAGUCGUCAAAGAAGACAAGACCUUCAGGAAAGACUUUCUUUGGAACAAAAUGAAAAGCUAAGUGAAACAAUAAAGCUAUAAAUCACUGUCAGUUUCAGAUAAUAUUGAUUGUGGUGCCUAUGCACUGAAAAGAACAUUUCAAACCAGAAAACGAGUUGAGUGUAACACUGAUUAAGUAUCAAUUUCCGGGAUACCACAUCAAUUCAGAGAGCUCUUGCAGACUGAUAGUGAAGAAUGCAGGGGAAUGUUAAGAAUUCUUCUCUCUUUAAAAGAAAUGUUAACCAGAGUUUAUCUAAUUGAUCAGUCAUUUUAGAUGCAAUCAUCGAUCAUGUGUUGGGAGCUGAUGUUGAAUUUCUUAUCUUAGAGUCGGCAAUAAAAUUAAUGAGAUGAUAAUAAGCUGGUCAGAACUAGCAAAAGAAAAACAGUUUUGCCAAUUAUUGCACUUCCAGAAUCCUCAUGCUCAUAACAAAAGACCAUUCCGACUUGCUUUCGUGGAUGGUUUCACACUGUCGCGGUUAUCAAUGCUAAAUAACGUUCAUAACUUAAAGCUUCUCUCAGGUACAGAAGUAUUCAUCAUCCUAGACUGAGGAAGUAAAAUGAAAUGUAUGAAUUAGGUCCUUAGAGCAAAAACCCAACUUUAUUCAUAUCAGUGAAACUAGAAGCUAUGAAUAUUUGAGCAUGAGAAGGAAUGAACAGGGAUCUACAUUUACUAGCAAGUGAAUAAGCGAAGAAGAACUAUACCGAAAUGAAAUCUUUUAUUAGCCAAUAUUCUAGUGAAAAAUCCAUCAUCUGAAACUAUAUAGUAACAACAAUCCUAUGAUGUGAUGGUAAAUGAUAUCCUGCUUCAGGUCCCCUCAGGGAAAGUAAAAGUGAGAACUCAAAUUCAAUUUAAUCAAAGAAACCAUAUGAUCUUUUUUCAGUGGUAGAAGCUAUUAUCAUGACUGAUUAGAAGAAAAGUAUACAAGUGCUGUAAACUUACGUCCAAGAACUUCCAUCAGUAUGUGGAGUAUGUGGUUAGUACUUCAAGUUCCUCGUUUCCCAUAUCCUGUUGAUCUUUGAGGAUUUGCAAGGCAGAACUCGACUUGGUUGCUGCAGCCAUGUAAGCGAAUGAUUGUCAAGGUAGAAAUUUGGCCAAAAAUUGAAGGGAUCUCCUUAAGUCUGGAAAAAUCUCCUACGACAAGCUGCUGAAGGCAGGUAAAUGAUUCAGCGGAGACAUUCCAUUCUUCAAUUUCUGAACUGGAUAAUUCUAAGAAUUUCAGGUUCAAGAACUGCUCAUCGUCCACUUCCCACCUUUGUCCUGGAAAGGCUUGUUCUCCCACCAGUGGUACUGGUUGGACUAUUCUUGCUUGGAAUUGCUAAUUCUUUUGGGUUGGGUGAAAUUGUGCAUUUAAUUGGCCAUCUGGAGCCACAUGUUGGGAAUCUGGGGGAACUAUAAUACUGCAUUGGUUUGCUUGGCUGAGUAGCUGUGUUUAUUGCGUUGUUACUGUCCCUUGCUGCACUACUAUUGCUGCAUAUGAGUUAGCAAUUUUUCUUGGCCAACUGGAGCCGUUUAUUGAGAUUUUAAAUGUGUUGCAAUGCUCUGAUUAUUUGUUCGAUUUGGAGAUGACAUUUUGACCAUCACAUUGCUUGGGGAUAUUGCUUGAAUUGCUGGAUAACUCGCUGGGGUUUCUCUUGAGAUUUUAGUUGAGAUAUUUCUGAAUUGCUUGUUGAUUACUUGCUGGAACUCUUUUGUUUGCUAUUGGCUGGGUUACUACUGGGAGAUUUUUGCUUUGUCAAUUGCUGGUUUCUAUACUUGUUGGAUUUUCUGUUGCCUUGAACUUACUUUGGGGGAAAUGGUGAGACCGAAAUCCUCCUCUAGGUCUAGGACCUUUCAGUCUCAACCCCCUCCACAAGCCUCUAUUCCUGUCAACUCACCUACCAACCUACCCUCCUCUUCUAGUGUUCGAACCCGUUUGGGUAGGGAUAGGGGUGCUCAGGUAGAUGCACCUGUUCACUUUGGGGGGCACUUAACAUUUACCAGACCCGCCGAUCGGCAGAGAUACGCUAAGGUCUGCGAGAGGCGUAUAAUAUCCUGUAAGUCUUGUCAUAGACUCUCUCUAACUGCCCUGGGUAUACGGGAGGAGGUUGAGCAAAUGUUCACAGCCAUUGGGUGGCGCCCAUAUUUCCAUAUUUCUUGUCCCGCUUUUGUUGAGCUGAUCCGGGAGUUUUACUUCACCUUUGAGUUCGAAUUACCUACGAGAUACACGGGUGAAACACCGAAUGUCAUUCAUUUCCGGCUCAUGGGUCGAGAAUUCAAUUUCUCCAUUACUCAAUUCAAUCUGGCAUUUGGGUUUAUCACUAGAGAGUAUGCUGAGACUAGGGAAUAUGCGGAGAGUGCCUGUGACUACGUAGAGCCUUUCCUCUCCCACUACCAUGAUGUAUGGGAGGACAUGUCCGUCGAUAGGCAACGCUACGAUCCUUCCCGGUCCAGGAGCUCCUUUCUUAAGGACCUAGCGCCCGCUAUGUUCAGCGAUUCUUAGCUUAUAGCUACUCGGGGCGCAAGGACAGCUCCGGUAUACUCUCUCGGCCCGAAUUCUUCUUUCUCUGGAGUAUGAAGAACAAUAUCAAGGUGAACUUGGGAUGUUGGUUGGCCGCACAGUUCAAGACGGUCUUGACCAAGAAGAACAAACCACUGAUCCUUGAGUCCUACAUCACUCACUUGGCGACCCAGUUGGGAGUUCUUAACCUGGAUGACCACGACCUCCAUUUGGCAUUUGAGAUGGAGCACUUGGACGUAGUUUGCUUAGAGAAAAUGGGGGUCGUCGAGCGUCUGCCAGAUGGUUUUCACCAGUUUACCCGUCCGGGACCACCUCGAGCCCCGGGUGCACACCAUUCGGCCCGGGCAGGGCCAUCUUCAUUCCCUGGGUCGGCCGCGGACACUGCUGGGCCGUCUACCUCUACUUCUGCGCCACCUCCACCACCUGGGACCGAUGAUUGGCAGCAUCUCAGGGAGCAGGUUCAGGAUUUGCAGGCCCGGAUGACCAACGUCGACGCCAAUGUUGCCGGAAUGGCACAGAAUUUGGCGCAGUUUCUGAUGCAUACAGGCUUUGCACCUCCGUUUCCACCUCGCCCUCCGCUUUGACCCGAUUUCAGGGACGUUUGGUUGUUUCCCCUCUCACUUUUGCUUCACUUUUGGUUUUUAUUUGUCACAUUGAGGACAAUGUGUCCUAUAGGUGUGGGGGGGAUCUAAAGUUAUGCUAGUGUGUUCCGUCUUUAGUAGUUUUCAGUUUUCAGCUUUUCAUUUUAGUAGUUUUUAGUGUUUUUAGUUCUUGGUAUUACUUUUUUUUUAGUUUUUAGUUUUGGGUUUUAGUUUUUAGUCGUUAGUCGUUUUUAUUUUCUAUUUGUUCAUUCUCCUUCACUCUUGUUGGUUAAUGUAAAAAAAAAAAGGGGAACAAGAAAAAGAAAAAGGGAAAGAAAAGUGAGUUUUUAGUUUUUAGUAGUUUUUCGUAGUUUUAUUUUUAGUUGCUUAUGUUCCGUUCUUUCUUCUUGGUGCUUGUCUUCCAUGUGAAUGCCAAUAUUGAGGUGUGGAAUUAUUGACUCCGAGUUUAAUCUUGCCAAGUUUUUAAAAUACAAAGGUAUCGGGUUAAUGUGGUUGGAUUCGAGAUGUCUCCUUGGUGAAUAUCGGACUGCUUAAUUCUUUUGAUUUCUUUGUUAAUUUUUCUAGGCAUUGGGAAUGACUGUUGGCAUUUUAAUGUGAACUGGUCCAAUAUUGACUCCAGUUCUCUAUGUUUGGCAAUAAUGAGGCGAGCCGCUCCUAUUUUAGGUUCUUAGUGUUGAUAUUAUGUGUUGCUGGGUUUGCUUGGCUGUGAAUAAUCUGGACUGUACUCCGCUAUGAGUUACUACUGAGUAACCGGGGUUCGGCACCUAAAAGUGUCGUUUCUCGCGUCAAAAGGUGGUACUUUAUAUGAGUACGUGGUUGUAUAGCGGUAGGAGCUGAGUAACCGGGCUCCUUCAUCUAAAAAUGUUGGAGUUCGCGUCAAAAGGCUCCGGCGGCUAGAGACUAAGUCUUCUUGGAAAAAGAACUAAACAAAAAAAAAAAAACAAAGAAAAGAAGAAAAGAAGAAAAAAAAACAGAGAGUAAAUAAUAGGGAAGCUUGCUGGUUUAUGGACUUGAUAUGGGAACUUGUGUGAAUAUUUGGACCAUUAGCUGAUAAAUGCUGAGUGUCAUUCCUUUUCCUUAGUUUAGUUAAUUCAGAAAUUAAAGGAGUCUGUGGUUUAGAGACUAACUGGGGGAUGCUUCUCGGAUUUUAACUACUAGUGCCCGAUAUAUGAUUUUCUCUUGAAUACCUUGGCAAUUUGGUAGAUUGGGCAAUGACCACUAUCAGUUUUUGGUGUCUGUCUACUUUUCUUAUGCUUGAGGACAAGCAUGGUUUAGGUGUGGGGGAAUUGAUAGGUCGCAAUUUAUUCAUUUAUUUUAUUAUUAAUUCCUCCCAUUACCUGACUUGAUGUGGGUUUAUUUGCUGGAUUCUAGUCAUUUUUAGUAUUUUGCAAUUAUUUCAGGGAGUAGAACGAAAAUACGAUAACAAGGGCCAAGUUUGACAGAAAAGAUGUCCAAGCCACAGAGCUUAUUCCAGGGAUAUUUUUGGCAAAGAGGAUAUGAUGCCCAUUUUGGUAAUUUCCGCAAAAAAGGACGGACGGAGGGAUUCUUCCUCCUGCUGGUGAGCCGCCGCAAUAAGAAGGGAGAGCUCUUUGGGGGGGCUGAAUUUUUAGCAGAGAAUUGUUAGCUUUUGAGCUUGGAGCCUUGGACUUUUCUUUUUGACUUUUCUUAGUUUCUUUGAAUCCUGCGCAUGGCAGGAACAAGGAAGAAUUAUUUCCUUUGACUUUUCCUUUAGCUUAUUGUAGCUUCUGGCUCCACGCAUGUGGGGAGCAAAAAUUGAUAGCCUGCUUUCUUUGACUUUUCUUUCUGGCAUCUUGUGAAUGACUUUGCACUACGAAUGCUAGCAACAACUACAAAGCUUCAAUUGUUACCGCGCUUUUCAUUUGUUCUCCAAUUGUUCGACGAAUUGCAACUCCCCGAAACGCAGGCAAUGGCCGCUGCUCUCUCUACAAUUUUCCGCGGGCUUAGUUCACCCAAUAUGAGCUAAUCCCCUCAUUCUAGUCAAGAAACGACGGAUGCUUUGGAUCACCUGAAAAUUGUGAGAUCGAUUUAAUUUAAUCUUUCCCUCUUAUUUAUUGGUAUUCGUGUAUUCCCUGAUUACUAUGCUUAUGGUUAUUUAAUUAAUUGAUUGUCUUGGAUCCGGAUGAUUAGUUGAUUGGGUAAUCUAUUGUUAAUUGGGGUAUUAAAUCCGUAAUUGUUUAAUUACCUCAAAAUAGUGACACCUGGCACGAUUAGAUUCGUGUCAGGGGAAUACACGGGCUAAUCUAAAAUAACCCUGGUAGUGCGUUAUUUGGUUAGAAUAGGGCUCCUCUAAUACGUAAGGCAAUUGGGGAAUUAAAUUCUACGGGCGUACUUAGGAUUAUUCCUCAAUUAGAGCAGUGAUUAACGGGCGUACCUUGAUCACCGACACAGUAAGGAGGGGUUGACUGCCAUCGUUUGUUUGGUAGUUAUAACCUAUUUAUUGGUAGAUAAGUGGGAUUGCUUUGCAUCAAUGAUCAAUUAGGUGAACCAUUGCUGAAGUUAUUUCUUGGCUAGAUCUUUAGUUAACAUUUCCUUGAUUGGAGCGGAUUGCCAUUUGACUUUUAAUUGCCUACUUUAUUUUAUUUUAUUUUUGAUUGUUUCCUUAUUUUAAUUAAUUUAGGCCUUUAAUUAUUGUUAUCCUGAGUUCAGUAAAUUGUGGUUUAAUUCCUAAUUAAUUAUUUAUUUUUACUUUCUCAUUUGAAUUUAUUUAAUUAUCGUCGUUCCUACAAAAUCACCCCCUGUGUUACUUUGGAUUUCUUAAGAAACAAAUAUACCCAGUCUCUGUGGAUACGACCCUACUUGCCCUGUCUACAAAUUCCUAAUCAUUUGUGAAAAGGAAUAACCAUUCCAUUCGGGUAUAUCGGAUCAAGCAAACUCUUCGGGAACAGGGUGAAUCAAGUAACCCAUUGCACACCUAGAGUCCCUGCUCCAGUACUUGGAAUUGGGUUUUGGUCAUUUUAACUGGCAAUUAAGUUUAAUUUUUUAUUGCACAGGCUGACGACCUGUCAAUUUUUGGCGCCGUUGCGGGACUGGCGUUAUUAUUUGUUUCUUUUUAAAUUCAAUUUUGUCCUAAUUUUCUGGUUUCUUCUAAGUAUGCCUCGAUCUUGUCGCACAGGUGAUUUGGUUUUUGAUCCUGAGGUAGAGAAGACGCGCGUAGAACGAGAAGGAAACCAGACAGCUUAGAGAAGAGCACUCUAGUGCUACAUCUCAAAGACCUGAGUCAGAAAUUGAACCAACAGAUUCGUUUGGUAACACUUCGAGUGACUCUGACCAGGAGGAGUUCACCAUGGCUAAUGCACAAACAUUAAGUGAGUUGGCUGCUCCUGAUUUAACUCAGCAGCCGUUAUGCAUUACUUUCCCCGCUUUAAAUGACAACAUUCCAUUUGAACUAAAAUCUGGUCUGAUUCAACUUUUACCCUUUUUUCAUGUUUUACCAGGUGAGGAGCCGUAUAAGCAUCUGCAGGAGUUUGAUGUCGUUUGCAAUAGUAUGAAACCCCGAGAAUCACAGAAGAGCAGAUAAAAAUGAGGGCAUUCCCUUCUCCUUGAAAGAUUCUGCGAAGGACUGGAUGUACUACCUGUCACCAGGUAGCAUUAUCACGUGGGACCAAUUGAAGAAAAAAUUUCUGGAUAAAUACUUUCCGGCGUCCAGGGCUGCGAGUCUAAGGAAAGAAAUUUGUGGGAUCAAACAGCAUCCCGGGGAGUCACUUUACGAGUAUUGGGAACGGUACAAGCUUAUUGCGCAGGUGCCCCCAUCACCAAAUAAGUGAAGCAGUUGAUCAUACAUAUUUCUAUGAGGGGCUCAUUUUUAGAGACAGGAGCAUCAUUGAUGCUGCAAGUGGAGGGGCACUGGUGAAUAAAACCCCUCAGGAAGCACGGGAGUUAAUAGAGGGGAUGGCAGAGAAUCACAGCAAUUCAGUACAAGAGAGGAUGUCCCAAUACGUAGGGUGAAUGAGAUAGAGACACCUUCUGUGCAGCAGCAGCUAAAUGAAUUGACUGCGUUCGUUAGGCAACAGGCUGUGAGAAAUGUAUCACAAGCAGGGUAUGCGGGAUUUGCACUGGUAUAGGUACCUGCAGACUAUGUGCCCAAUGAUUCAGGAAGAAACUGCGAAACAGGUGAACAUGGCUGACCACGCGCCCGCGCCAAAAAGCAGUACGACCCUUACUCAAGCACCUACAACCCCGGGUGGAGAGAUCAUCCCAACCUCAGUUAUGGUGGGAAUAGGCAAUCCAACUUCACGCCAAACAGGCAGUCUAACUUUGUGCCAAAUAAGCCACCAGGGUACCAGCAGCAAUACCAACCCCGACCAUCUCCGCCCCCUCAAUCUGGUUCAUCUACGGAUGAGAUACUGAAACAAAUGAUGACAACCAUGGCGCAGAAUCAGCAAAGGUCGGAGGCAGCUAUUAUGCAAAAUCAGCAAAAGACGGACUCCGAGAUGCAGGACAUAAGGAAUCAGAUAGGUCAAUUGGCCACCAGAAUGAACCGUUUGGAGUCCCAGAACCAAGGGAAGCUGCCAUCUCAACCGGAGUUGAAUCCGAAGAAUGUGAGCGCAAUGAUCCUAAGGAGUGGGAAAGAAAUUCAGGGGCCUGAACCUGUGAUUCCCAAGGACAAGGAUGAAGAGAAGAUCGAAAAUGAGCUCGAAAGGGAGGACAGCAAUGGUGCAGAUCAAAGGUACUUCCUGACCCAAUAAUUACAGUUAAAACUAACCCGCCUCCUUUUCCUAGCAGGUUGGAAAAAUCAAAGAAACAGGAUAAGGAGAAGGAGAUCUUGGAGGUUUUUCGCAAGGUUGAGAUAAAUAUCCCCCUCUUAGACGCCAUCAAACAAGUACCAAAAUAUGCCAAGUUCCUAAGGGACUUGUGUGUCAACCGAAGGCGAUUGAGGGGAGAUGAACGGGUCAUAGUUGGGGAAAAUGUGUCUGCGGUCCUGCAGAGAAAGCUUCCACCAAAGUGCGGGGACCCAGGUAUGUUUACUAUUCCCUGUAAGAUAGGUAAUACUGUGAUCAGAAGGGCCAUGUUGGAUCUGGGAGCAUCAAUAAAUGUCAUGCCUAAGUCUAUCUAUGCUUCUCUAAAAUUAGGUCCAUUAAAAGAAACUGGAAUAAUCAUUCAAUUAGCUGACCGAACUAAUGCAUAUCCUGAUGGGUUGGUUGAAGAUGUGUUGGUAAAAGUUAAUGUUUGGUGUUUCCAGCUGAUUUUUAUGUACUUGAUAUGGAUGAUGAUCACUCCCCUGACCCCUCACCUCUGUUAUUGGGUAGACCUUUUAUGAGCACAGCGCAGACGAAAAUUGAUGUUAAUAAGGGUAUCCUGUCCAUGGAGUUUGAUGGGAAAUUGUGCAUUUUAAUAUUUUUGAUACUAUGAAGUACCCCUCGAACUCCAACUUUAGCUCAGUUUUUUCUGUGAGUGCUAUUGACCCUGUAGUGCAGGAAGUGUUUGAAACUGAUGGCAGGGAUGAGCUGGAGGUGGCUUUAACCAAGCACCUCGAGUUGGGACAACUCCUGAGGUGGAGUGGAGCGAGGAUUUAAAAUGCACAAUAGGUGCAUUACACUCGUUGCAGACCACCACGAAAAGGUAUGAAGCUUGCCUAUUUUUACUCCCGAGCCUCACCAGAGGGUAUUGCCAUCUGUGGUGCAGGCACCUGUAUUGGAGUUGAAACCUCUACCAGAGCACCUGAAAUAUGCAUAUCUGGGUGAUAAUGAGACACUCCCGGUGAUUAUCUCAUCGGCACUGUCAAAAACCAGGAAGAGAAAUUGAUCCGGGUCCUUAGAGAGUAUAAAGAGGCGAUAGGUUGGACAAUUGCAGACAUUAAGGGAAUCAGCCCGGCCGUCUGCAUGCAUCGGAUUAGACUAGAAGAGGAUGCCAAACCUGUACGGCAGGCUCAAAGGAGGCUCAAUCCCCUCAUGAUGGAAGUUGUAAAGAAAGAGAUUCUAAAAUUGCUAGAUGUGGGGAUCAUCUUUGCAAUAUCUGAUAGCCCUUGGGUGAGUCCGGUCAGGUAGUCCCAAAGAAGGCAGGAGUGACGGUAGAGGCCAACCAAACGGGGAGCUCGUGCCAGUGCGCAAACCCACAGGAUGGAGGCAGUGUAUAGACUACCGUAGGCUGAACGCCGUCACUAAAAAGGACCACUUCCCUCUCCCUUUCAUUGACCAAAUGGUUGAACGUUUAGCUUGUAGGGCUUAUUAUUGCUUUUUGGAUGGAUUUUCAGGAUACUUUCAGAUAGCAAUUGCCCCGGAGGAUCAAGAGAAGACAACCUUCACGUGCCCGUUCGGGACCUUUGCCUACAGACGAAUGCCAUUUGGGUUGUGCAAUGCACCUGCGACUUUCCAAAGAUGUAUGGUAAGCAUCUUUUCUGAGUAUGUUGAGAAAAUAAUAGAAGUUUUCAUGGAUGAUUUCAGUGUGUAUGGUGAUAGCUUUGAUACGUGUCUAGAUAACCUGAAAUUGAUCCUGAUAAGGUGUAUAGAGACUAAUCUUGUGCUUAAUUGGGAAAAAUGUCAUUUUAUGGUUGAGCACGGGAUAGUCCUGGGUCAUAUUGUAUCGUCUAAGGGCAUAGAAGUUGACAAGGCUAAAAUAGACAUUAUUUCUGCAUUACCUUACCCCGCGAGUGUGCGGGAGGUGCGCUCUUUUCUUGGACAUGCAGGUUUUUAUCGAAGGUUCAUCAAGGAUUUUUCAAAAAUUGGAGCCCCGUUGUUCCAACUCCUACAAAAAGAUGUAGCCUUCGAGUUUGAUGAUAGUGUGAGAGAGCCUUUAACAAGCUGAAGGAAUUGUUGACUUCACCCCCAAUCAUCCAACCCCCGAUUGGAAUUUGCCAUUUGAGAUCAUGUGCGAUGCCAGUGAUCAUGCUGUUGGGGCUGUACUGGGGCAAAGAGUAGGAAGGCGGCUCAUGUCAUCUAUUACGCAUCCCGAGCCUUGAAUGGAGCCCAGUUGAAUUAUUCCACCACUGAGAAGGAGCUUCUUGCAGUUAUUUUUGCUUUGGAAAAAUUUAGGUCAUACUUGUUAGGUGCUAAAGUGAUUGUAUUUUCUGAUCAUGCAGCAUUGAGGUACCUGAUGACCAAGAAAGAUGCAAAACCGAGGCUCAUACGGUGGAUACUGCUCCUACAGGAAUUUGACUUGGAGAUAAGGGACAAAAAAGGCUCAGAAAAUCUAGUAGCGGACCAUUUGAGUCGCAUACUAGUUGAAGAGGAUAGCGAGCCAUUGAAGGAUGCAUUCCCUGAAGAGCAUUUAUUUUCCUUAAAUUCUCAUUGCCUUGGUAUGCUGAUUUGGUCAAUUAUCUAGUAACGGGUGAUUUUCCUGCAGGUUGGCAAAAUCGAAGAGGGAUAAAUUGAAGAGCGAUGCCAAGUAUUUCAUCUGGGACGACCCGUACCUAUGGAAGAGGUGUGCAGAUCAAGUCAUGAGGAGAUGUGUAAGUGAAAUGGAAUUUCAAUCAAUUUAGCUUUUUGUCAUACUUUUGCCUGUGGAGGUCAUUUUGGCCAAGAGAACUGCUCAUAAGGUUUUGGAAAGUGGAUUUUAUUGGCCUUCAUUAUUUAAGGAUGCCUAUGUGUUUUGUAAGUCAUGUGAUCGCUGUCAAAGGGUAGGUAAUAUAGCCCGUAGAGAUCAAAUGCCCCAGGUCCCGUUGAUUUUUGUUGAAAUUUUUGAUGUCUGGGGUAUAGAUUUCAUGGGGCCUUUUCCUACUUCAUUUGGCUUUUUAUAUAUUUUGCUGGCAGUUGAUUAUGUGUCUAAAUGGGUGGAGGCUAAGGCCACUCGAACUAAUGAUUCGAGAGUAGUUGCAGAUUUUAUCAGUCUAAUAUCUUUGUGCGGUUUGGAAUGCCUAGAGCUAUUGUCAGUGAUAGGGGAACGCACUUUUGCAACAAAACCAUAGCUGCGUUGUUUCGCAAGUAUGGUGUACUCCACAGGGUCUCAACAUCAUACCACCCUCAGACCAAUGGUCAGCAGAGGUGUCGAAUCGGGAGAUUAAGUCCAUUUUAGAGAAAAUGGUGCGCCCUGAUAGGAAAGACUGGAGCCAAAGGUUGGAAGAUGCACUCUGGGCCUAUCGGACGGCGUACAAGACUCCUAUAGGGAUGUCACCGUACAGGUUAGUAUUUGGGAAGCCGUGUCACCUUCCAGUGGAGUUCGAGCACAAGGCUUUUUGGGCGAUAAAGCAAUGUAAUAUGAAUCUAGAAGAGGCCGGUGUUCAACGGAAGCUGGAUUUGCAAGAAUUGGAGGAGAUCCGGAACGAAGCAUACGAAAACGCCUUGAUUUAUAAGGAGAAAAGCCGGGCAUUUCAUGACCAACAAAUUUCAAGAAAAACAUUUGAAGUUGGUCAGAAGGUCCUCCUAUACCAAUCAAGGCUUAAGUUAUUCCCUGGUAAGCUACGUUCCCGUUGGAUUGGACCUUUCAUUGUUACUCAUGUUUUUCCCUAUGGUGCAGUUGAGAUCCAGAGUGCUAAGACAGACAACAAAUUUGUGGUGAAUGGACACCGUCUCAAAUAUUAUUACGAAGAAUUUUCAGGUAGAGAGGUGGAGACAAUAAGGCUUGACGCACCACCGUGUCCUAAUCAGUGACACUUUACCAUGUCUAGCCAAAGACAUUAAAGAAAGGCGCUCAUUGGGAGGCAACCUAAUUAUUUCUUUUAAUUGUUUGUUGGUUUUGUAGCAUAGUUUAAAUCUGCUUUCCCUGAAUUUGACUGAUUUUGGGUGUUAGUUUUCGUUUUGCUGAUUUGUAGGUGACCUUCAGUCAUGACGCGCCCGCGUGAUGACGGGCAGGAAUCAGAAACUUCCAACUUCUGGGAGCUCUCCUGGCCUCAUGACGUGCUCGCGUGGUGAUGUGCAGGACGCUCACGAUCAGAAAAUUCUGAACUUCUGGGAGCUCUCCUGACCUCAUGACGUGCCCGCGUGGUGAUGUGCAGGACGCUUACGAUCAGAAAAUUCUGAACUUCUGGGAGCUCUCUUGACCUCUUGACGUGCCGCGUCACGUUCGCGGGAAAGGUGAGGAUUUGAAAAAAAUAUUUCAUUAUUAUUAUUGUUAUUAUUGUUAUUAUUAUUAUGCCUUUCAUUAAAAGAAGAAAAAAAGAUUAUUUAAAAAAAUUUAAUAUUAAUAAUAAUAUGAAAAAAAAAACAAACGAUAAUAAUAAUAAGAAGCUGGAAAUUUUUUCUCUUAACCAUAGCAAUUUCAAUUUUGAAAAAAAAAAAAGGGGGGUUUUCCUCUUUUUCUUUUCUUUCUUUCCUUUCUUUUUCUUUCUCUCUUCUUCUUUUUUCCUCUUUUCUUUCUUUCUUCUCCGCUGUUUUGCUCUGUCCGCCGCUCUGCCCACCGCCAUCUCAACUCACGCUCGCCACCCACCUCGCGCUGGCUCACCAACCGCGCGCCACCAGCCCAUCUCCCUCGCGCGCGCAGCCAUCUCGCGCCGCACCAAACACCCGCGUCCGCCGCCAGCAGCCUACGCCGCUUCACCCAUAGGCCUGUCCACCACUGCUGCCGACCAGCAGAUCUGCAUCGCCGCCGCCAACUCCAAGGUCGCGCGCCACCAGCUUGUAGGCAACCCAGCCUACCUCGCGCGCGCCGCCGCCCCAGCAGCCGCAGCUCCACCUCGCCGGCCCACGCGAUUUCCGCUCCUGCUUGGCCGCCGCUGCUACAUCUCCACCGUCGCCCAAACGAUCUCCUCCUCACGCGGCCACAAGCCCACGGGUACGUGCUGCAGCCUCGGUCCAGUCGCGAGCAGCGCGCACGGUGCAGCCGCCACCUCCCUGCUCUGUCCGCCGCUGAUCAGUCCAGCGCGCGCAGCCACAAGCCACGGCGCGUGCAGUAGUUUCGGUCCAGCAGCCACGCUCUGCCCACGUACGCAGCCCCCACCACCAGCUUCAACGCCGCUGCUCUGUCUGCCGCCUGGGGUAGUCCCAGUGGAGGUAUUUGACACUUGCCCUCAAUUUCUCAGUGUUAGCCAGUGAUAUUUGGUAGCGGCUUGUGCAUAUUUGGAUGAUCUUCCACCAGUGGUACUGGUUGGACUAUUCUUGCUUGGAAUUGCUAAUUCUUUUGGUUGGGUGAAAUUGUGCAUUUAAUUGGCCAUCUGGAGCCACAUGUUGGGAAUCUGGGGGAACUAUAAUACUGCAUUGGUUUGCUUGGCUGAGUAGCUGUGUUUAUUGCGUUGUUACUGUCCCCUUGCUGCACUACUAUUGCUGCAUAUGAGUUAGCAAUUUUUCUUGGCCAACUGGAGCCGUUUAUUGAGAUUUUAAAUGUGUUGCAAUGCUCUGAUUAUUUGUUCGAUUUGGAGAUGACAUUUUGACCAUCACAUUGCUUGGGGAUAUUGCUUGAAUUGCUGGAUAACUCGCUGGGGUUUCUCUUGAGAUUUUAGUUGAGAUAUUUCUGAAUUGCUUGUUGAUUACUUGCUGGAACUCUUUUGUUUGCUAUUGGCUGGGUUACUACUGGGAGAUUUUUGCUUUGUCAAUUACUGGUUUCUAUACUUGUUGGAUUUUCUGUUGCCUUGAACUUACUUUGGGGGAAAUGGUGAGACCGAAAUCCUCCUCUAGGUCUAGGACCUUUCAGUCUCAACCCCCUCCACAAGCCUCUAUUCCUGUCAACUCACCUACCAACCUACCCUCCUCUUCUAGUGUUCGAACCCGUUUGGGUAGGGAUAGGGGUGCUCAGGUAGAUGCACCUGUUCACUUUGGGGGGCACUUAACAUUUACCAGACCCGCCGAUCGGCAGAGAUACGCUAAGGUCUGCGAGAGGCGUAUAAUAUCCUGUAAGUCUUGUCAUAGACUCUCUCUAACUGCCCUGGGUAUACGGGAGGAGGUUGAGCAAAUGUUCACAGCCAUUGGGUGGCGCCCAUAUUUCCAUAUUUCUUGUCCCGCUUUUGUUGAGCUGAUCCGGGAGUUUUACUUCACCUUUGAGUUCGAAUUACCUACGAGAUACACGGGUGAAACACCGAAUGUCAUUCAUUUCCGGCUCAUGGGUCGAGAAUUCAAUUUCUCCAUUACUCAUUCAAUCUGGCAUUUGGGUUUAUCACUAGAGAGUAUGCUGAGACUAGGGAAUAUGCGGAGAGUGCCUGUGACUACGUAGAGCCUUUCCUCUCCCACUACCAUGAUGUAUGGGAGGACAUGUCCGUCGAUAGGCAACGCUACGAUCCUUCCCGGUCCAGGAGCUCCUUUCUUAAGGACCCUAGCGCCCGCUAUGUUCAGCGAUUCUUAGCUUAUAGCUACUCGGGGCGCAAGGACAGCUCCGGUAUACUCUCUCGGCCCGAAUUCUUCUUUCUCUGGAGUAUGAAGAACAAUAUCAAGGUGAACUUGGGAUGUUGGUUGGCCGCACAGUUCAAGACGGUCUUGACCAAGAAGAACAAACCACUGAUCCUUGAGUCCUACAUCACUCACUUGGCGACCCAGUUGGGAGUUCUUAACCUGGAUGACCACGACCUCCAUUUGGCAUUUGAGAUGGAGCACUUGGACGUAGUUUGCUUAGAGAAAAUGGGGUCGUCGAGCGUCUGCCAGAUGGUUUUCACCAGUUUACCCGUCCGGGACCACCUCGAGCCCCGGGUGCACACCAUUCGGCCCGCCGGCAGGGCCAUCUUCAUUCCCUGGGUCGGCCGCGCGACACUGCUGGGCCGUCUACCUCUACUUCUGCGCCACCUCCACCACCUGGGACCGAUGAUUGGCAGCAUCUCAGGAGCAGGUUCAGGAUUUGCAGGCCCGAUGACCAACGUCGACGCCAAUGUUGCCGGAAUGGCCACAGAAUUUGGCGCAGUUUCUUGAUGCAUACAGGCUUUGCACCUCCAUUUCCACCUCGCCCUCCGCUUUGACCCGAUUUCAGGGACGUUUGGUUGUUUCCCCUCUCACUUUUGCUUCACUUUUGUUUUUAUUUGUCACAUUGAGGACAAUGUGUCCUAUAGGUGUGGGGGGAUCUAAAGUUAUGCUAGUGUGUUCCGUCUUUAGUAGUUUUCAGUUUUCAGCUUUUCAUUUUAGUAGUUUUUAGUGUUUUUAGUUCUUGGUAUUACUUUUUUUUUAGUUUUUAGUUUUGGGUUUUAGUUUUUAGUCGUUAGUCGUUUUUAUUUUCUAUUUGUUCAUUCUCCUUCACUCUUGUUGGUUAAUGUAAAAAAAAAAAGGGACAAGAAAAGAAAAAGAAAGAAAAAAAGAAAAAGGAAAGAAAGUGAGUUUUUAGUUUUUAGUAGUUUUUCGUAGUUUUAUUUUUAGUUGCUUAUGUUCCGUUCUUUCUUCUUGGUGCUUGUCUUCCAUGUGAAUGCCAAUAUUGAGGUGUGGAAUUAUUGACUCCGAGUUUAAUCUUGCCAAGUUUUUAAAAUACAAAGGUAUCGGGUUAAUGUGGUUGGAUUCGAGAUGUCUCCUUGGUGAAUAUCGGACUGCUUAAUUCUUUUGAUUUCUUUGUUAAUUUUUCUAGGCAUUGGAAUGACUGUUGGCAUUUUAAUGUGAACUGGUCCAAUAUUGACUCCAGUUCUCUAUGUUGGCAAUAAUGAGGCGAGCCGCUCCUAUUUUAGGUUCUUAGUGUUGAUAUUAUGUGUUGCUGGGUUUGCUUGGCUGUGAAUAAUCUGGACUGUACUCCGCUAUGAGUUACUACUGAGUAACCGGGUUCGGCACCUAAAAGUGUCGUUUCUCGCGUCAAAAGGUGGUACUUUAUAUGAGUACGUGGUUGUAUAGCGGUAGGAGCUGAGUAACCGGGCUCCUUCAUCUAAAAAUGUUGGAGUUCGCGUCAAAAGGCUCCGGCGGCUAGAGACUAAGUCUUCUUGGAAAAAGAACUAAACAAAAAAAAAAAAAACAAAGAAAAGAAGAAAAGAAGAAAAAAAAACAGAGAGUAAAUAAUAGGGAAGCUUGCUGGUUUAUGGACUUGAUAUGGGAACUUGUGUGAAUAUUUGGACCAUUAGCUGAUAAAUGCUGAGUGUCAUUCCUUUUCCUUAGUUUAGUUAAUUCAGAAAUUAAAGGAGUCUGUGGUUUAGAGACUAACUGGGGGAUGCUUCUCGGAUUUUAACUACUAGUGCCCGAUAUAUGAUUUUCUCUUGAAUACCUUGGCAAUUUGGUAGAUUGGGCAAUGACCACUAUCAGUUUUUGGUGUCUGUCUACUUUUCUUAUGCUUGAGGACAAGCAUGGUUUAGGUGUGGGGGAAUUGAUAGGUCGCAAUUUAUUCAUUUAUUUUAUUAUUAAUUCCUCCCAUUACCUGACUUGAUGUGGGUUUAUUUGCUGGAUUCUAGUCAUUUUUAGUAUUUUGCAAUUAUUUCAGGGAGUAGAACGAAAAUACGAUAACAAGGGCCAAGUUUGACAGAAAAGAUGUCCAAGCCACAGAGCUUAUUCCAGGGAUAUUUUUGGCAAAGAGGAUAUGAUGCCCAUUUUGGUAAUUUCCGCAAAAAAGGACGGACGGAGGGAUUCUUCCUCCUGCUGGUGAGCCGCCGCAAUAAGAAGGGAGAGCUCUUUGGGGGGCUGAAUUUUUAGCAGAGAAUUGUUAGCUUUUGAGCUUGGAGCCUUGGACUUUUCUUUUUGACUUUUCUUAGUUUCUUUGAAUCCUGCGCAUGGCAGGAACAAGGAAGAAUUAUUUCCUUUGACUUUUCCUUUAGCUUAUUGUAGCUUCUGGCUCCACGCAUGUGGGGAGCAAAAAUUGAUAGCCUGCUUUCUUUGACUUUUCUUUCUGGCAUCUUGUGAAUGACUUUGCACUACGAAUGCUAGCAACAACUACAAAGCUUCAAUUGUUACCGCGCUUUUCAUUUGUUCUCCAAUUGUUCGACGAAUUGCAACUCCCGAAACGCAGGCAAUGGCCGCUGCUCUCUCUACAAUUUUCCGCGGGCUUAGUUCACCCAAUAUGAGCUAAUCCCCUCAUUCUAGUCAAGAAACGACGGAUGCUUUGGAUCACCUGAAAAUUGUGAGAUCGAUUUAAUUUAAUCUUUCCCUCUUAUUUAUUGGUAUUCGUGUAUUCCCUGAUUACUAUGCUUAUGGUUAUUUAAUUAAUUGAUUGUCUUGGAUCCGGAUAUUAGUUGAUUGGUAAUCUAUUGUUAAUUGGGGUAUUAAAUCCGUAAUUGUUUAAUUACCUCAAAAUAGUGACACUGGCACGAUUAGAUUCGUGUCAGGGGAUACACGGGCUAAUCUAAAAUAACCCUGGUAGUGCGUUAUUUGGUUAGAAUAGGGCUCCUCUAAUACGUAAGGCAAUUGGGGAAUUAAAUUCUACGGGCGUACUAGGAUUAUUCUCAAUUAGAGCAGUGAUUAACGGGCGUACCUUGAUCACCGACACAGUAAGGAGGGGUUGACUGCCAUCGUUUGUUUGGUAGUUAUAACCUAUUUAUUGGUAAUAAGUGGGAUUGCUUUGCAUCAAUGAUCAAUUAGGUGAACCAUUGCUGAAGUUAUUUCUUGGCUAGAUCUUUAGUUAACAUUUCCUUGAUUGAGCGGAUUGCCAUUUGACUUUUAAUUGCCUACUAUUUUAUUUUAUUUUUGAUUGUUUCCUUAUUUUAAUUAAUUUAGGCCUUUAAUUAUUGUUAUCCUGAGUUCAGUAAAUUGUGGUUUAAUUCUAUUAAUUAUUUAUUUUUACUUUCUCAUUUGAAUUUAUUUAAUUAUCGUCGUUCCUACAAAAUCACCCCCUGUGUUACUUUGGAUUUCUUAAGAAACAAAUAUACCCAGUCUCUGUGGAUACGACCCUACUUGCCCUGUCUACAAAUUCCUAAUCAUUUGUGAAAAGGAAUAACCAUUCCAUUCGGGUAUAUCGGAUCAAGCAAACUCUUCGGGAACAGGGUGAAUCAAGUAACCCAUUGCACACCUAGAGUCCCUGCUCCAGUACUUGGAAUUGGGUUUUGGUCAUUUUAACUGGCAAUUAGUUUAAUUUUAUUAUUGCACAGGCUGACGACCUGUCAAUUUUUGGCGCCGUUGCCGGGGACUGGCGUUAUUAUUUGUUUCUUUUUAAAUUCAAUUUUGUCCUAAUUUUCUGGUUUUCUUCUAGUGUAUGCCUCGAUCUUGUCGCACAGGUGAUUUGGUUUUUGAUCCUGAGGUAGAGAAGACCGCGCGUAGAACGAGAAAGGAAACCAGACAGCUCAGAGAAGAGCACUCUAGUGCUACAUCUCAAAGACCGAGUCAGAAGUUGAACCAACAGAUUCGUUUGGUAACACUUCGAGUGACUCUGACCAGGAGGAGUUCACCAUGGCUAAUGCACAAACAUUAAGGGAGUUGGCUGCUCCUGAUUUAACUCAGCAGCCGUUAUGCAUUACUUUCCCCGCUUUAAAUGACAACAUUCCAUUUGAACUAAAAUCUGGUCUGAUUCAGCUUUUACCCUUUUUCAUGGUUUACCAGGUGAAGAGCCGUAUAAGCAUCUGCAGGAGUUUGAUGUCGUUUGCAAUAGUAUGAAACCCCCGAGAAUCACAGAAGAGCAGAUAAAAAUGAGGGCAUUCCCCUUCUCCUUGAAAGAUUCUGCGAAGGACUGGCUGUACUACCUGUCACCAGGUAGCAUCACGUGGGCCAAUUGAAGAAAAAAUUUCUGGAUAAAUAUUUUCCGGCGUCCAGGGCUGCGAGUCUAAGGAAAGAAAUUUGUGGGAUCAACAGCAGCAUCCCGGGGAGUCACUUUACGAGUAUUGGGAACGGUAUAAGAGCUUGUUGCGCAGGUGCCCCCAUCACCAAAUAAGUGAGCAGUUGAUCAUACAAUAUUUCUAUGAGGGGCUCAUUUUUAGAGACAGGAGCAUCAUUGAUGCUGCAAGUGGAGGGGCACUGGUGAAAAACCCCUCAGGAAGCACGGGAGUUAAUAGAGGGGAUGGCAGAGAAUUCACAGCAAUUCAGUACAAGAGAGGAUGUCCCAAUACGUAGGGUGAAUGAGAUAGAGACACCUUGCAGCAGCAGCAGCUAAAUGAGUUGACUGCGUUCGUUAGGCAACAGGCUGUGAGAAAUGCAUCACAAGCCAGGGUAUGCGGGAUUUGCACUGGUAUAGGUCACUCUGCAGACAUGUGCCCAAUGAUUCAGGAAGAAACUGCGAAACAGGUGAACAUGGCUGACCACGCGCCCGCGCCAAGGAAGCAGUACGACCCUUACUCAAGCACCUACAACCCCGGGUGGAGAGAUCAUCCCAACCUCAGUUAUGGGGGAAUAGGCAAUCCAACUUCACGCCAAACAGGCAGUCUAACUUUGUGCCAAAUAAGCCACCAGGGUACCAGCAGCAAUACCAACCCCGACCAUCUCCGCCCCCUCAAUCUGGUUCAUCUACGGAUGAGAUACUGAAACAAAUGAUGACAACCAUGGCGCAGAAUCAGCAAAGGACGGAGGCAGCUAUUAUGCAAAAUCAGCAAAAGACGGACUCCGAGAUGCAGGACAUAAGGAAUCAGAUAGGUCAAUUGGCCACCAGAAUGAACCGUUUGGAGUCCCAGAACCAAGGGAAGCUGCCAUCUCAACCGGAGUUGAAUCCGAAGAAUGUGAGCGCAAUGAUCCUAAGGAGUGGGAAAGAAAUUCAGGGGCCUGAACCUGUGAUUCCCAAGGACAAGGAUGAAGAGAAGAUCGAAAAUGAGCUCGAAAGGGAGGACAGCAAUGGUGCAGAUCAAAGGUACUUCCUGACCCAAUAAUUACAGUUAAAACUAACCCGCCUCCUUUUCCUAGCAGGUUGGAAAAAUCAAAAAACAGGAUAAGGAGAAGGAGAUCUUGGAGGUUUUUCGCAAGGUUGAGAUAAAUAUCCCCCUCUUAGACGCCAUCAAACAAGUACCAAAAUAUGCCAAGUUCCUAAGGGACUUGUGUGUCAACCGAAGGCGAUUGAGGGGAGAUGAACGGGUCAUAGUUGGGGAAAAUGUGUCUGCGGUCCUGCAGAGAAAGCUCCACCAAAGUGCGGGGACCCAGGUAUGUUUACUAUUCCCUGUAAGAUAGGUAAUACUGUGAUCAGAAGGGCCAUGUUGGAUCUGGGAGCAUCAAUAAAUGUCAUGCCUAAGUCUAUCUAUGCUUCUCUAAAAUUAGGUCCAUUAAAAGAAACUGGAAUAAUCAUUCAAUUAGCUGACCGAACUAAUGCAUAUCCUGAUGGGUUGGUUGAAGAUGUGUUGGUAAAAGUUAAUGAUUUGGUGUUUCCAGCUGAUUUUUAUGUACUUGAUAUGGAUGAUGAUCACUCCCCUGACCCCUCACCUCUGUUAUUGGGUAGACCUUUUAUGAGCACAGCACAGACGAAAAUUGAUGUUAAUAAGGGUAUCCUGUCCAUGGAGUUUGAUGGGAAAUUGUGCAUUUUAAUAUUUUUGAUACUAUGAAGUACCCCUCGAACUCCAACUUUAGCUCAGUUUUUUCUGUGAGUGCUAUUGACCCUGUAGUGCAGGAAGUGUUUGAAACUGAUGGCAGGGAUGAGCUGGAGGUGGCUUUAACCAAGCACCUCGAGUUGGGACAACUCCUGAGGUGGAGUGGAGCGAGGAUUUAAAAUGCACAAUAGGUGCAUUACACUCGUUGCAGACCACCACGAAAAGGUAUGAAGUCUUGCCUAUUUUUACUCCCGAGCCUCACCAGAGGGUAUUGCCAUCUGUGGUGCAGGCACCUGUAUUGGAGUUGAAACCUCUACCAGAGCACCUGAAAUAUGCAUAUCUGGGUGAUAAUGAGACACUCCGGUGAUUAUCUCAUCGGCACUGUCAAAAACCCAGGAAGAGAAAUUGAUCCGGGUCCUUAGAGAGUAUAAAGAGGCGAUAGGUUGGACAAUUGCAGACAUUAAGGGAAUCAGCCCGGCCGUCUGCAUGCAUCGGAUUAGACUACUCCAAAGAGAGAUAGCUUAAGAGAUGACAAGAACUUCUAACAAAAAUACAGCUACAAGAGUUUAUAAAAAGAACCAGGGCAAUAACAGGACAAGAGGAUUCCCACGUGACUCCAGCUUGGAUCUUCACCAAAAAAUUCAGCUUCAACUUCUCUUUUGACUUUCAGAAUGUUUUCUGCAAUGCUGACCACCCCCAAGAUAAACAGCCCAAUCAGAUACAUUCAAAGCUUUAACAGAAGUUUCAAAAAUCAUCCUUUUCUGGUGGCUAACUACACACAUUUUCACAGUCCGAGACAGUCCACAUGAAGAAGUUCAAUAGCAAAAGAAAAGAGUCUUGAUUCUUAACCGUGAAUCACAAUCAAGUAAACAACAGAUAUGCUAGUCUGGUAGAUAAUCUGCCAGAUAAAUAAAAGAACAAAUUUCUGAACUAUGCUUCUUCCUACCAUGAACAGAAUAGUUACUAUCUAAUCUAGCUAAAAUAAAAAAUCCAAUCCUAUUCAAGUGUACAACAGACGACAUAAAUUGUAUACCACUUCACCUGAAAGUGACUGAGUUGUAUCAUACAAUUUUCACAAGUAUCAAGAUUGAUACUGGGACAAAUGAUCAAUACUCAUCUUAAAUACACAAGAUGUAUUUAAUGUAAAACCUAUUUCGCCAUUGUCAACACUUUGAAAUAUUUCAAACUCCAACCGAAUAUUUAUUACUGAGAAUAAAACAAAGGAACAAUGUGGUAAGAAUAUGAUAGGAUGUAUUUUAUCGGGUAUUUUGGACAUUAUUGCGCAAUUAAUUGAUUAAAUAUUUUCCUUAAUUGGGUGGAUUCUACUGAUAUUUUGUUCUGGGUGCUUAAUUGCAGGAAUGGUUUCUGAAAAGUGCUUAAAUUCAAUUUUUAGAAGAUUCAUCGAACGUGGGGCCCGCUUGAGGAGCAGAAGAGACCUAACUGUAAUAGAUUUUAUUUUAAUAUAUUUUUAGGAAGUCUGGCUGCAAUUUAAAAAAAAAGACAAGUAACAAUUUUUCGGCUAAUGGGGGGAUUAUAUUUAUCUCUCACGCGGCUUAGGUUAGAGGGGAGUUUUUACUUAUUUUUGGGAAGGCUGGCCGCAGCUUUGAGGGGAAAAGCAAGAGACAAAAAAAAAAAAGCCUCCAUUAUUGACUUUUGCGUUAUUACUUUUUUUCCAUCUUCUGUUGACUUGAGCAAUCGGCUAUUCUCCAUUGACUCAAUUAAAUUGAAUGAAGAAAACAAGCAAGGCAAUCCUUCGUACGUUUUGUGAGGGAAGAAAGGAAUAAAAAAGCAGCCGCUAUUGUGCACCUUGUGGGCCUGACUCUUUACUCAAUUCCGAUUGGAAUUGGAAAGAAACGUGAGAUUAGUGUAUUCAUACGCUUUGGGGGAAACUGGUAGCAAUAAAGCUUCCUUGUGCUUUCCCCUGGCAUUGACCGAAACAAGGGAAAAUUGACCUGCAAAUCUUUCCCAAUUCUCCACGCGCGGCCUAUUCUCCACUAAUGGGAAACUAAGCCCCUAAUUCUAGCCGAGGGAUCAACUGACGAAUUAGUUCUACGAUUACUGUGAGAUCUAAACCGUUUUUAAUUAUUUUCUUCAUUUAUUAGUAUUUAUAUGUUCCCUGAUUUUAAUUGUUAUAGCCUUAUGUAUGAUUGAUUAGUGCGCAAUAAUUAAUUAUUAAUCUAGACUAUUUUGCUAAAUAGAGGUAAUUGAAUCCGUAAUUGUUCGUUAACUCUAUCUUAGUAGCAACUGGCGUAAUUGGGUUUAUGUCAGGGGAGCAUGUGAUCUAGUUUAAACAAACCCUCGUAGCGUGUUUGUUAAUUAGGAUUGGGCCUUUCUAAUUAUUAAUGCAAUCUAGAACUUAAAUCCUAUGGUCGUACCUAAGGUUGUUUUUGGAUUAGAGAAAUAGCUAACGGUCGUACCUUAACUAUCGAUAAAUUAAGGAAGGAUUGGUUGUUUAGCACGUGCUAGACAACUAUAACCAAUCUAUUAAUAAAAGUUGGAAUUAUCUGUGAAUCGAUGAUCAGUUGCAUGAACCAUUUCUGAAGUAUACCCUUGGCUAGAGUUUCUCUUAAUUAUUUCUUUAAAUUAAUUAUUUUCUGCAGUUACUUUAUUUUCAGCAUUUAAUCGUGAAAACCCCCAUUUGUCUUGAUUCAGAAAGAAAUAAAUUUCUCUCCAGUCCCUGAGGAGACGACUCUGCUUACCACUAUCUACUAGUUAGUGAAUUCAGUUAAAUAAUUAAUUCAGGUAUAUCGGAUUAAGCAAACUCUUCAGGAACAGGGUGAAUCAAGUAACCCAUUGCACACCUAGAGUCCCUGCUCCAGUACUCGAAUUGAUUAUUGACUGCUUUGGGUUGUAGUUAGGUUUUAUUUAUUAUUAUUGCACAGGUUCGGCACCUGUCAGAAUACUUCUCCCAACUGCAGCAGCUGGUCCCUGGUAUAUUGAAUAUGUUCCCUACCCCAAAGAGAGUGUCUCCAGUAUACAAUAGAAAAUUAAGAACAGAUUGGAAAAAUCAGAUAGAGCAAAAAUAGCCCAAUGGAACAAGUAAGAAUAUGGACCUAACAAACAAGGGUGACGAUUGAGUAUUGAGUAUUACAUGAUUAUGCAAUUAACAAAAUGGUUGCUAAGUCCAUUACAACCUAAAAACUAGGGCAUUAAGUUGGUUUAACAUUUCGACCGGAAAAAAAUAAACAUCACAUAUCAUUAUAUAUUCAACCAAUGGUGCAGAAGUUCCAUGCAACUGCCCCAUUUUAAAAUAGAAAAUAAUUCAAAUGCAUGCAGAGUCCUUUGCAAACUAUCCUUGGAUGCAAAAGUAAAAAAGUGAGAUCACAGCUGUUCACCACCAAGUCGUAACGAAAUCAAGUGCAUACAGAGUGGCAGGUGGCGAUUAGAUAGACAGCACGGCGAUCUCAAUAUUCAUCAUUAUAAGGAAAACGAAAACCACAAUUUUGAGGAGGCCAGGCCUCAAAAGGAGCAUCAUUUUUUACUCCUUAAAACAAUCUACUGGAGCUUUCAUAUAUGUAGGGCAAUUUAUGGGCUACAAGAUACUCGUUAAACACCCACCUGAAGCCUAUUCAUGUUAUCUCCAUAUUUACAGCAGAUACACAUCUUAAAUGCACUACCAAGAAUUAGGAACAUUUUAAUCAGUUCCCUCACAGGCUCGGCAAGGGUAACUACAUACAAUGAUAUAUCAAUAGCAAUACACGCUGUUGAGAAACAAAAGCUGUGUGGUUUUAUCCAGCAAAGAAAGCAGAGGAAUUACAGAGGGGCAUACCAUAAUUAGCACCCCAAGAAUGUUUUCAGAAAAGAAUCGAGUACCCAAACCAAAUUGUCUGAGGAGAAAACACUGAUUUUGAGGAAUGAAAAAAAUAAGUUGAGAACUCAACAAUUAAAUUUUGGCCCGUAAAACUCCAGCUAAGCACAUUAAUAUCAGCUUCAUCAAGGAAUCAAUAUCAUCUUUCUCAAAUCAAGACUAUUCUCAAGCAAGAAGAGAAGCCAAUAAGCUACAUAAAUGGCUUGCAUCCCAGUGCUGCUGCAAAAAUCAAGAAUUUUUAAUCACCUUAGAACUGUCAUUUACGUAUAAACACAUCUUCAACUGUGCUAAAAGAAAGGUUCCAUACACAUAAAUGAACAAGAUUUCCAUGAUCCAACCACAUUAUCUGUUUUACUUGAUACAGAGGCGAAAACACAUGCUUCUUGGAAAACAAAUUCCUUGCCGAACAUAAUGCACAAAACAACAUCCUUGGAAAAAAAUACCUUGCCUAACAUAAUGCAGAAAAUGAAAAAUGACAUUCUUAAAAACAAAUAUCCUGCCAAACAUUAAGCAGAAAACAAAUUUCCACAAAUACAUUGUGCACAUAUCUAUGUGAUUAUACAUUUUUUCACACGUACAACUGGCCAUGUUAAUUUCCAAUAACACAACUGCUACCAUGUUUCCUGCACUAGUAAGUCCGCCAAACCUCAAAAUUCAAAAAUUUAACAAUCAAAACCAGCAAGAACAAGACUCAAACUUCCAUAAUCAGCUGCAAAACUUUUUCUUAAAAAUGCAAAACCAAAAAAUUAGCACUAAACCCAAAACUAAACUAAAAUCUACAAAACGAAAUACAGAAUCAGCACCAAACAGCUUCACUUACACACCAAACCAUAAAAAUCCCAAAAUUUUCUAAUCUGUUCACCAAAUUAUCUAAGAACUAGGCAUAAAUUCAUCAAAAAUUUAACAUACUAACUAAAACUCGAUAAGCCCAGAAAAAACAAACGAAAAAACCAGUACUUUUACAUACCAAAAAUCCAAUCUUGAAGCAAUGAACAGCUAGAUGAUUGAGGUAAACAUAGACAGAAACCACAAAACCCAAGACCUGAUAUGUAAUUUUUAAACAGAUGACAAUUAGACAUGAACGAGGAGAGUGGAGCGGGCGCUGCCAUGAGGCUGGAAAAAAGGAGAUUAGAAGAACUGGCAUCGUUGUUAUUGAUUGAAGAGGGUUCAAAAUGAGGACCAAUCAGUCUGCUGCCACCUCAGCUUCCACCUCCAGGUCUAUAGCUUAUCACUGUCUGAUCAGCCUGAACAUCUCAAUCAAAAGCAAUCUUCGCCGUCCAAAUUUUUUGAAUCAAAAUGAUUCAAAAUUUUAGAAGUACCCGAGCUCGAGGUGCCGUGAGGCUAGUCCAGGGCUUGUCUCCUCCCAUAGGGCGGCUCCUGGGGAGGUCAUAAGCGUUCUUCCUUCCUUGGCCAGGUCGUGCAUCCACCUGGUCGGUGCCCCUCAUCCGCUUGUCAUCCCUCAAUCUUUCUUGUGAACUCUUAAGGCGAUUGGCCUCCUCCGCAUUGGCCUUCUCAUGAGCUCGGUCUAGCAUUUUCCGAACGGACUUCGGAGGUCUCUCCACGAGCUCGGUGUAGAGCUUCUGCUUCCGCAGCCCAUUAAUGAAGGCAGCCAUGACCACCUUGUCAUCGCGAUCUCGAACCUGAAGGGACUCGUUAUUGAAGCGCACCAUGUAUUCGCGCAAGGACUCCUCAGGCCUUUGCUGGAUAGUCAUCAGAUGUGCCGUGCUCUUGGAGAAGGCUCGUGAUGAAACGAACUGGGCCGCAAACAGCCGCGCGAGCUGGGCAAAGGACCGGAUGGACCUGGGAGGAAGUCCCUGGAACCAUUGACGCACCUUACCCUCCAAAAACAUUGGAAAGGUCUUGCACCUGACCGCAUCCGCAGCAGUUUGCAGGUGCAUUUGGGUCAUGAAGGCAAACAAGUGAUCCUCCGGAUCCGUGGUCGCAUCGUAAGACUUCAUGUUUGGUAUUUUGAACUUCGCAGGCAGCGGGUAGUUCUCGAUGUCAGGGACGAAAGGGGAGGCGAUAUACCUAUCCGCCUCUGGAUCUAAAAGCAGGUCCAGCUCGUCCUGCACCUGGAGCUGUUCCUUCCGUGGUGAGAGUUCCUCCUUAGAAUACUUUCGGAAGGGCUCCGGAUGCUCGGUUCUGGAGUGCUUGUGAGACGGUUCUACAACAUCAACCGGCGUGAGCUCCCGGCGCACUCGCUUGAGCUGGGGAUUAGGGCUCCCAGUCCUUGAUUCGGACAGCCCUUCACCUGGAUUCUUUGGCCCCUGGCCAGGAUGACCUAAUGCCUGCCCCUUAAGGUAAUUCACGAUUGCUUCGAAAGUCGGCAGGUUCCCUGCCACCGCCUGAACCAAUUGCUCAGGAGGGAUCCGGGAAAGCCCUGCGCCUUCGUCUCCCGAAGUCGGACCCCGCGUGGGGUUUUGAGGACUGCUUCCCCCGUUCCCCUUAGAUCCAUCAACGUUUCUUUGAGACCUAGUCCUUGGCAUGAUUCGCAAAGAAGAAAUACGUGUUCCCACAGACGGCGCCAAUUGAUGCGACUGUCAAAAAUCUGGUCCGAGCAGAGCUGAUCGGGGAUAGUUGGGAACGAUGUCUGAUGAAUGAGCUAUGAACCCUGCGAAGGAAGUGGAACAGCGGGACUAAAGUCCCCGGGAUAACUCCGAUGAUUAAAUUAGUAAAGUUUUCUGAGCAGAGUAAUGAGCACGAGUGCUGUUUUUCACGUACCUUGUGUAGUCCUUUAGUGCUAUAUUUAUAGGCUUGACCGGGUAGUAGUUUCCUUAUUGGAGUCAAAGUCCCUUAGGGUUCGAAGUCUUAUUAGGGUUUGGCAUGACGGCCCCUAAUAGUUCAGAGGCGGCGGCCCACGAGACCUACUAUAGGGAGAGGCGGCUGUUACGGCCGAGCUGGCCCGCUUAUGCCGAUCUGCAGCGAGCAACACACAAGGCCUAUAUUGCUGACCUGAAGCGUGCGGCCUGCCGAGCUGACACGUGUCAUGCGUGUAUUUGCCCCACUACAGUUUAAUAAUAUUUUUUAAAAAAAAUAGGAUUUUCGUCUUGUAAGAUAGACCUUACCCAUCUCUCCUGUUGUUUCUAACAAAUACAUGCGCCCCAUUAUUUCGUUAAGUUGAUGGAUUGUAAAAACUAGGGGAAAGUAAUGGCGGCUGUUUGGAGUAGUGAAUCAGGGAAAGGUGGCGGGGACUGGGGAUUCCAAUGACUAAAAUAGUGCGGAAAAUAUCAUUGAAGCAGUCUUUCCAUAUACCGGUGGGAAUUUUGUCCCAUUCGAGCUGAAUGUAUUAACUGCAUUUCCCUGCUUCACUAAAAUGUUAGAACAAAAUUAUCAUCAUAUCGACACAUAGAUAAAACCAAGUUAUGCAUGGUAAGGGGCUAAUUCCUUCGAUUAUUGCUCAAAAAAUAAAAAAUGGGACACUUGUGGUUCUGACAGGAGUCCGGUAUAAAUAUAUACACAGCCCGGCACCUGACACCAAAAAUUUUUUUUUUUUAUAAAAAACACAUGCAGCCCGGCACCUGACAAAGUCUGAAAAGUUGGCUGCCGGGCACUCUCUGCCCGGUAGCCAGUCAAAUUGUAAAAAAAAAAAUUCGAAGGGCUUCAAUGCAAUUCAGACAAAGUAGCUCACCUGACAAAGACUGCAAAAGCUGUGCCCGACAGCCAGUCAAAUUGUUAAAAAAAAAAAAAAUUCGGCCACAUACUGUUUAUAAGAUGAAUGCCGAGUAGAUGAGCCAUAUUAUUGGUUCCUACACGAUAAACAAUGUCGAGUAUGCUGUCAAAGCUGUUGGAGCUUUAAUUAUACCACCAUUAUUGGAGCUUGUUAGAGGAAAGAUGACCCAGGUUAGAGCAAAGGGUAGCUGUUAGAGUACUAGGACAUUUGGCAAGCUAUGAAACGACCUUCAAAGCUAUAGCGCUUUAUGAAGAAGAAGUGGUUAGAUUAGCCAUGCGUUUGGCUUCUACCUGUGUGAAAAGCUGGCUGCCGGCUUGUUUUAAAAAAAAAUGCGGCAGAAGAAUGCAUUUCUGACAAUAUUCUUCAAUCCACGGAAUUAAAGUGGAGGUAAAAAUUAAACAUUGGAUACAUUUUUAUGGUGGAAAGUUCACUUUCCUGCGCACAAUAAGCAGAAGUAAAACAGAUGUGGAGAUGCAUAAAGAAGUAUAUUGGACACUCAAAAAAUCAAAUUAUGCAUGGAUGAAAAAUAUUAUGUAUAUUAAAAUUAUAAUAAAAGGAUGUUUAAAAAUUUAUUCAUUAUUUAAUGUUCAACACUUAUAUUUGGUAAAUUAAAAUAAUUAAUUAAAUAUUCUAUUAUAUUAUAAGUAACUAUAUAUCGUUAAGUCGAUUGAAUAAUAUGUAAGCAGUUAUUUUUUUUGGCAUUUGAAGUAGUUGUCUAUUAAGUUUUAAUUGAAAUAAAGAUUUUAUAAUUAUUUCAAAUUAUGCAAUAAAAAAAUCACUGUAAGAUAAAGAUAAAUGUGAGAUGAAAAAAUAAAUGUAAGAUGAACAAAUUGUAUGAUUCAAAUAUUUGAUUUAAUAUGCAAGAAAGACAAGAAGAAAUGGCAAGAAGUUUUUUAAAAAUUAAUGUGAGUUCUUUAUAUUGGUAAUCACCUUUAUUUGUUAUUUUAAUCAUAAUACCUGAUUAUAACCGAUUAUAAUACCUAAUACUAUUUACAACUAAAGUUACUAUAUACGUAAACUAAAAUUUUCUAUUUCACUAAAUUUUCUUUUAUAUAUGAUGCACGUUUCAUCAUUUGUUAAAACAAAUUAAAUGAUAAAACAAAUGACAAACAAAUGAUAAAUUUUAACAAAUAAAUAUUUUUUGAAACCUAAACCCCAAACCCCAAACCCUAAAGAAGAAUGCAUUUCUGAAACCUAAACCCUAAAACCCUAAACCCUAAACCCUAAACCCUAAAAGCCUAAACCCUAAACCGUAAACUCUAAACCCUGAACCCUAAACCCUAAACCUGAACCCUAAACCCUAGACUAUACACAGCGUAGAAGUACAAAAUAAUGUAACCUUAAAGAAGGAACCCUAAACCCUAAACCCUAAAGAAGAAUGCAUUUCUAAAACCUAAACCCAAAAACCCUAAAAACAUCCACGGAAUUAAAGCGGAGAGAAGAAUUAAACAUAGGUUACAUUUGUAUGGUGGAAAGUUCACUUUUCUGCGCACAAUAAGCAGGAGCAAUGCAAAUGUGGAGACGCACAGAGAAGUAUAUUGGGCAAUGGAAAAAAGCUGAUUAUGUAUAUAUGAAAAAUAGUAUAUAUUUGAAAAUUACAAUAAAAGUCCUCUUAAAAAUUUAUUCAUUAUCUAAUGUUCAAUACUUAUAUUUGGUAAAUUUAAAUAGUUAAUUAAAUAUUCUAUUAUAAUAUAAGUAACUAUAUAGCGUUAAGUCGAUUGAAUAAUAUGUAAGCAGUUAUUUUUUUGGGCAUUUCAAGUAGUUGUCUAUUAAGUUUCACUUGAAAUAAAGAUUUUAUAAUUAUUUGAGAUUAUGCAAUAAAAAAUCAACAUAAGAAGAAAAAAUGCAUAACAUGACAUUGUACAAUCGUGAAUUUAAAAAUAGCGAUAAGCAUUAUAAUAAUAAAAGAUUAAAUUAACGCUAAAUCCUCAUAUUCAAAUAUUUGAAAUUGUAAAACAUGCAAUUGAAAUGAUCAUAUCAACGGUUGGUACGCCUUUUGCCCUUGCCUUUAUCACCUGGUGUUGUAGACGGACAACAAAAUCUUUUAGGCUUUCGUCUGCAACGAUCACGAUGAGCAUAGGGUCCUACGUCAUCCUCCUCAUCCGACUCAACUGUCGUACUGCUAUCACCAUCGUGUUGAGAACGAUACGUGACAAAAUCCCCCGUCUGACCGUAUGUAGUAGUAGAUAUCGGCUGGAUCGACGCAGGUACGGUCAUAGUCUGUCCAAUACUGUAAUAAUCGGGAAGGUCUGAAAUGGAAGGGACACCACCCGUUUCGUUCAGAAAAUUGAAUAUUGGAUGUAGCUUAGCAGUAAAAGAUGAGGCCGCUGCAGUGGCAACGUAUCCAAAUGGAGGCUCGUUUGACGAGGAUGGAAAAUGUCCCCCAAAUACAGACAAAUAUGGAGAGGGCCUGGAAUAUACACCAAAAGGUGGAAACUGUGGCAAAGGCGUGGCCUCUAGAGCAAUAUGCUGUGAGUGCGGGAACGAUGUCACCUGAGGGGUAAAGGCCGAUAUAUUCUGUCCAGGUGACACAUCGUGGAUGUCUGGCAUCGGCAAAGGCACAGAUGUGGUGAAUUGAUUACUAGUCGGGUUGUAAUGCGAUUGAGUGCCCCCCUCGGUCAUUUGAAUGCCCGUCUCCUCAAUGACUUCGUCCUGCAAUCCAUGCCUAUGGCGUCGACUUCUACUAGAUGAUGGUCCACCUUGUGUAGGGACACGUCGCACGCGAGGUUGGAUAGGAAUACAUCAAAAGUUUAUGCAUUUAAUACUAUCAAAUAUCAAAUACCAGUUACUUAUUAGUGUAACCCUCUACCGGAACUGAGACAGCUCAAGUUAUUUAUGAAAAUAACCAGUAUAUGGACAAUUAGGGGCAGUGUGACCCGACUGUAAGCAGUUACUGCAUCGACGUGGUGCAUCAGGACAUCUUCUAUCCAUUUGAUUUCUGAUCCUAGCAGUUCUCAAUGGUCCGGGCAUCUUUUGUUUCAACCGAUCUCCAUUGACAUUCAGCUUUAAUUCCGCCAAGGUCCAAUAUUUUGGAUCCCAUAGCGGCUGAAAAGAACCACUGAAUGUAGCCUGAUAAGCGGGAAACGUAUGUUCAUGAGCGACAAACGUCAUUGGACUAAUACCACACCUAUAACACGCUGCCAUAGCAUGUGAAUAUGGGAAGCAUAGUUCUCUCCAUUUUCCACAUGUACAUGUGUGACUUCCAAUGUCGACAGUCUGGGCAUUACCUCCUUGUCGGCUUUGUCGAUAAGCAGUUGUGAUACAGUAAAUGCCUCUCUAGUGAUCGAACACUUGAACUGCAUGUGCCCUCCCUUUUUUUUCAUUUUUUACAUAUUGCUUCCAACAUUUUUUUGGGAGCGCGUAUACUAGAUUCCAUGCCACCUUGUGAUUUUUGACAAACAGGUCAACUGUUUGGUUGAAUGUGAACCGUAUACAUGCAGUAAUUGGAAGCAACCGAGCGUCUCUCAAUAAAUUAUUGAAACAUUCAACCAUAUUUGUGGAUAUGUGCCCCCAACGAUAUCCCCCAUCUUUGCACAGAGCCCAUUGCUCGGGUCGAACUAAUCCACCCGUUAGUCAUGUGUACGCCUCCGUAUUCAAGGAGUAAAUCAAAUUCAUGAUGUCCUCAUACUUGCGCGGCUGAUUUGCCACACCAGCAGCGUAUAUCAGGCUUUUAAGUCUACCAGACAGCAUAAAAUAUCGUCAGAAUAAGUUUAAUAUAUGUUUAAUAUGUUAGGGUGCGGUGAAAAAACAUUUAAGGGUUCGGAGACAAUUUACCCCUCAUUCUUGAAUUUUUGUGUGAAAUUGCUCCGAAUAUGAAUCAAACAGAAUCGGUGCACCCCUAAUGGCUCCUGCCACUCUUCAAGUGUACGCAUUGCGUUUAUAAUGCCGUGGUGACGAUCAGAAAUAAUGCAUAUAUUUUGCACAUCACCACACACGUGAAUGCGUAACAGUCUCAUGAACCAAGACCAACUCCGAUUAUUCUCCUCAUCAACUAGGGCAUAUGCCAAGGGAAACAUUGAAUUUUCAGCAUCAAACCCUAUGGCGACAAGAAGUUUUCCCCGAUAAGGCCCUUUUAAAAAGGUACCAUCCACGCAUAUCACCGGUUUUAGAUAGCGGAAAGCUUGGAUGGCUGGAGCAAAUGCCCAAAAUAUAUAAUCAAAAAUUAUUGCAGAGGGGGUACUUAAUGGAUGAUGAUCCCACACAACUACCGUCCCUGGAUUCGACCGUUGUAACUCCUCAAUAUAUGUCGGCAGUUGUGAUAUGGAUGUCGGCCAGUUCCCAUAUAAUAUAUCAAUGGCACGGCGUCUAGCGUACCAAGCCUUCUUAUAUGACACAUCACAAUGAAACUCUUGUUUCACCGAUACCUGAAUUUCCUUGAUUUUGUACACCGAACUAUUCAUAAUAUGGGGGAUAAUGUGCUCGGCAAUUAUGUCACUACUCAAUCCACGGUGAUCGUUACUAUAGCAAACACGGACGCAAGUAUGUGCGUCAGCAAGUGUGACAAUCAUCCACAUGUUGUGCGAGCUCCGUAAGAUUGCACGAAACUGCCAAUUACAAGGGGGGACGGAGUUACGAGCCCGACAACGAACAUACCAAGUCGUUGGCGUGCUCUCACGAACUCUGAACUCCCUGUUCUCCUUGAUGGACCACAACUUCACAGCUCGUUGGACAUGCUCCUUUGAUUAAAAAAGAUGGCUCAAUUCUAAAUCUCUGGUGUGUUUGUUCCACAUUCUUAGCUUCUCCACUCGCCCAGCAUCAAGGGGGUCAAAAUUCAAUGCAGCGUCAACACCAGCUUCAUAACGCAGUUGUGGACCAUCACUAUUUAUCCAGGGGGCACCAUGAUCCAUGUCAUCAUGGGCCAUAGAUGCGCCCUCUAGAUGCCCUGCUUGCCUGUCAGUACCAUGUUCGUGGUUCUCAUCAUCGGAACCACUAAGAUUGGGCUCCGGUUCGGAGUCCAUGUCAACAUCUACAAACUGAUCGUCAGUAGAUGGCUGUACAUCAAACAUUGGUGCCGAUUCAAUAUCCGCACCUCGAGAAUGAAUGGUUGAGGUGUGAAUUAUCGGUCGAGCACCUGUACAUGGAGGAUCAUUAUUUGUCUGCCGACCAGUACCCCUUCUUCGCCCUCUAUGCCUUUGUUCGACAUCUGUUCCAGCUAGUUGGGUCAUUUGACUCUCAAAAUGGCCGACUGGCUGGAAUAAAGAUAUAUGUUCGGAACUGCUACCGCCUCGCUCAAGAUUACCACUUAUAAUUUGUAAACCAUCGGCACCAUGUUUUUCUAAACCCAAUAGCUUCUCGACUUCCACAUAUAUUUCGGUUGCAAGUCUACUACCAGAUUGUAAGUAGUACAGACCAGCAACUCCAUUGUCAUUUACCAAAGGCAUUGCACCAAACUUGCUAUUUUGGAGACAACUCCGAUAUAUCAAACUAAUCUUAUAGCUGUUCCGAUCUAAACCCAUACUAGUGUAUAUUCUGUCUACCAAUUCAUCAUAACCCACCACUUCUGUCAAGAACAACGCAUUUUUCGGUAUAGGAGGAUCAUAUGAAAUUGACCCAUUUUUUUAUAUAAUUUUUCCUCCCCAAUAUAAUUGUAUCACCAGGCAAUUAUCACUUGACAUGUUAUACCUAUUACGGACGAGUGUUGAUAACAUUGUAAAAUCGCAUUGAUAAGCUUAUUUGAAUAAUCAAUUAAUUGAUCGAAUCAAAUAUGUAUAAUUUAUAACAAAUAAAUAAAUAAUUAUGAGUCCAUAAUUGUAACAAAUAAUAACCAAAAAUAUAACAAAUAACAACAAAAAAUGCAUUCUAAUUAAAUAAUUCAACCAUUUAUAACAAAUAAAACUAUCAUUUAAUAAAUAACAAAGUAAACCUAAUUAACCACCUUAAUUACUACAUUUAGUUAUAAAAAUUUUACCUUAUGCUAAGUCUAUCAUGCACCUACAUUUCAUAUUGGGUCAAUUAAAUAUGAAAUUCUAAUCAAAUAUCUUACUAAUAUUAAAAACCCUAUUUUAAAAUGAUUUUAUGCUAAUUACAUUAUGUUUAUGCAUUUAAUGUAUUAAAUGUAGCAGUUUUUCCAAAUACUUGAAUUAUCCCCACUAAAUAGCUAUCAUAAUCAAAACUCAAUACAUGCCUCGACAAAUAAAUCUAAGUUCAUUUAAUCGACCUCUUAAAAUUAAUUAAUUACAAAAGAGUGAGAGGUCCUAAUUUAACUAAUUAAACCACAAAACUACUUAAUCUAAUCAGAUACUAAAUAACACAAGCUAAUUAUCAACUAACUUGCACAACAAAGUGAAUUGCAUUAAACUAAUACCCCUAAUUUUGAAAUAAAGCUAACCUAAUUACAUUAUGUUUAUGCAUUUAAUGUAUUAAAUGUAGCAAUUAUUUCAAAUACUUAAAUUAUCCCCACUAAAUAGCUAUCAUAAUCAAAACUCAAUACAUGACUCGACAAAUACAUCUAAAUUCAUCUAAUCGAACCUAUUAAAUUUAAUUCAUUCAACUAAUUAAAAAGCAACUAAUUAAUCUAAUUAAAUCACAAAACUAAUUAAACUAAUCAUAUACUAAAUACCGUGGACUAAUUAUCAACUAACUUGCAUAAUAAAGUGAAUUGCAUUGAACCAAUAAUACUAAUUUCGAUAUUAAGCUAUGCUAAUGACAUCAAUUUUAUGUACUGCAUUUAUUAUAGAUUUACAUUCAUGUAAUCAAUCACUUUAAAUACAUUUAUUAAACAAAUUUAAACAACUAAUUAAUCUACUUAAACUAAUUCAAUCACUAAACUAAUUCAACUAAGCGUGUACCGUGCUUCACUAACUAAUAUUAACAAACAUACGUAAACUACAUUAGCUGUUUACAAUUGCUUCAACAAUAAAUUAAAUAUUUAAUUAAUAACAAAUUAUAACAAUAACAUAAAAUAUUUAUCAACAAUUCACUAACAUAAAAUGACAAAUUAUAGCAACUUUUAUAUAAUACAAAUCACUAACCUCUUUUGAAUCAAAAAAAUCGAUUGCCUCGGGAGCACCGUGAGUAAUGAGCCCGGCGACCUUAACAGAAGUACCGCAAUUAAUCAGCACGGCGAUUAACAAAAACACGGCACCAAGCGUCUGAUGCCAAUUCUGCAUAAGAAUAAGGUAAUUAUUAGAAACACCAACAGGACCACAAGCCAAUUCUACUGCCAAACAAAGUAAUAAUCAUUUGAUAAAUAAGGAGGACUAAGCCAACAAACACUCACGAUUUGGACCACAGGACAGUUCUUUGCCCAACUCUUCGAAAUAUCGAUUAGGGCCACAAGAUAGUAAUACGCCCAACUCUGCAAAAUGUAAAGUGAGGUGCUCGUGUGAAAGUGUGAGACACUGAGAAAUGUAAACUCCGACUGAGGGCUGAGAGAAAAGUGAGAAAUGUAAAUUCCGUAUGGGAGAAAGUGAGAGGUGCGGACGAUGAGGAAGUUCCUCGGUGCUUAUAUAGAGCAUAAGGUAAAAUCUAGCCGUCCGUUUGGACGGCUAGAUUACAAAGUUUCUUUAAAAAAAAAAAAAAUUUAUACUACCGGUAGCACACAAUUAUUGUUUCACGACCUGCUAAAGUCUAAUGGAGCAUAGUUCUUUUGUCCAAUCGUACGUAAAUUUUUCUUUUGGUUCAGCUUUUUUGAUUCACGGGAGCUGCCAGACAAUUUUUGUUUUGUCCACAAGCCUGCCAAAAGGGGCAAAUCUGAAGCAAAAAAGUGUAAAAAAUUCACGGGAGCUACUUUGUCUGAAUUGCAUUUAACCGAUGCCGAAAUUUUUUUUUAACAAUUUGACUGGCUGCCGGGUAGAGAGUGCCCGGCAGCCAGUUUUUGCAAUCUUUGUCAGGUGAGCUACUUUGUCUGAAUUGCAUUGAAGCCCUUCGAAUUUUUUUUUUUACAAUUUGACUGGCUACCGAGCAGAGAGUGCCCAGCAGCCAGCUUUUGCAGACUUUGUCAGGUGUCGGGCUGUGUGUCUUUCAUAAAAAAAAAAAUUUUUUUUGGUGUCAGGUGCUGGGCUGACACAGCCCGGCACCCAUAGAUAUAUACAGAACCCCUGUCAGAACCGCAAGUGUCCGAUUUUUUAUUUUUUUGAGCAAUAAUCGAAGGAAUUAGCCAUGGUAAGGGAAGAAGUUCAAUACAUACUGCUAAUUUUACUCCAUUACCGAGGACAACUUCACUGAUGAUCUUGCGAUUUGUAGUAGUUGCUGCGAUGGUGAACGGACCAGCAACCGUUCCUGAAGGUUAUGUGUGCAUUUUGCACAAGAUGGCGUAAUUUUGUUUGCACAUGAUGUAACUUACUUUCAACAACGUGUAAUUCUAGAAUAAAAUUUUGUGAAUUCUACACAUAUUGUUAAAAACGAGGUAUAAAAUAAGAUUUGAACUGUACAAUUUUUUGUGACCAAAUCUUGGCCGUGAACUGUCAGGAAUAGUUGCUGCCCCUCUUUCGAUGGUAAACAACCAUGGUGCUGUGUACUCGUAAUCUGUCCUGGUACAAGGCCAUUAUUUCCUGCCGAAUUUACAGUAAGUAUUCCCUUCUGUGCUACAUGGAAAGGUCCAACUGCUAUAGAAUCAUCUAUCAAGUCAACUGGAUAAUUGAAACCAAUUGAAAUUGUAAUAAUGUCAACUCCAUCAGCUAUAGCAUCGUCGAAUCCAGCCAAUAUAUCAGCAUCAUCUCAAUAUGUAAAAACAUAAGCUUUGUAUACAGCAGUCCUUGCUGCAGGCGCCUCUCCUCGUACAGUACCUUCUACAAUUCCACAGUAACUCACAUCCAUGACAUUGUUUCCUGCAGCUGUUGAGGAAAUAUGCGUUCCGUGACCUUCUGACCUUCUAAAUCUCUUGGCGAAUCUGAUACAUAGUAACGAGCUCCAAUGAUUUUGCUAUAGACAUGUAUACGUUGCAAUGACUGCCAGUCGUAAACAUGGUUCAAAAGAGCGGUCACAAUUGCGGUCACGGCUCGGACUAUUCCACAUCGGUCUUAGCAUAUCGGUCGCAGUUUCGGUAAGACGAGAAUUUUUGAACUAUUUAAUAUUCUAAAAAUUAUAAAAAAAAAUAUGAUAAACAAAAAUAAUUAAAAAAUUAGUAAAAAUAAUAAAAAUUCGAAUUGAUUCAGGAUGAUUCGGAGUAAUUCAGUGUGAUUCGGCCGUUUCAACUUUUCAUGGUAAUAUCUCGACGAGUCAAAUAUCUCAAAAUCGUAUUGUUCCGAUAUCGUAUCGAGAGGGUCCGAGACGGUGAUGGCUCCGACUCGGCCGAAUCUUUGUACCAUAGUCGUAAAUGUCCUCUUUCAAUACGUCCAAACUCAAACGUAGUAAAUUAACUAACAAAAAGAAGAAAACUUACUUGUUACACAUGAAAUCAUCUCCGCCGUUACAUGCUCUUUUCCAUUUGUUUGGAAUAGGACCAAAACCAUGAUCGUCAAAACUCUCUUAUUCUGGCCAAAUUCCAGAAUCAAGAACUCCUAUAAUUAUAUCACUCUCAACUGCAAGAUUUCGAGGGGCACUUUUGAAGAAAACCAAUAAAGUCCCACGAUGAUGUUGUAUGAAGUUGAAGCCUUUUGCAUGGAAAUAUAGAAACCACAUCAUCACGGGCUGCAUAUUUCGUUAGAACUUCAUAAAUUACUAAAAAGUAAAUAGAAAUAUAACAGCAGCAGGAGAGAAUGGACAAUCACACCAGAAAUGGGAACCACCUAAGGAAGGCGUGAUAAGGAUAAACACAGAUGUGGCUCUCUCAGCUAAGAUGGUAAGGACAGGGUUGGGGAUAAUUGCGCGGAAUUGGCGUGAAGAGAUAGUGAAAGCCAAAGGCAUCAUGGCGAGGAUGAGAGGAGAACCAACAAUAGAGGAAGCAUUGGCAAUAAGGAGUGCGUUGGAAAUGGCCACAACUGCAGGGUGGACUACAAUAAAGGUCCAAUCUGAUUGCAAAUUUGUGGUGAGCCUAAUCAACUCAAGCAAUGUGCAGGAUUGUAAGGUACAAACGAUCUUGGAAGACAUUGAAGACUUGAAGAAGAAUUUUGAAAGAUGUUUGUUUUUGUUUGUUCCCAGAACUGCUAAUAGUUGUAGCCAUGCUAUGGCUUAAUUUGCAGUUAAGUCAGUUAGGAUGAUUGAAUGGGAGGGAGCAUUCCUAUUUUGGUUAUCAGAACUAGCUAGAAAGGAUAUGGGGGUAGUUACCCCUUUUUGUAAUUAACUCUUGUAAUAUCAAGUGUUAAUAUUUAUAAAAUUGUAUCAUUUGACUGAAAAAAAUAGAAAUAUAACAGUUAAUGAAAUUUGAAUCUAUUCAGGUAGAAUUAUCAAAAAUGGUUAAUAGAGAGUAUGGCAAACUAGCCAAAUUGAACUCACCAGCUAGCUUUCGCUGCUCUUGCUUUGUAAGGUUGGCUGCAAAUCCAUUGAAACUCCUAGUAUAACUUCUUACCUAGGUUUUCCCUUGGUACCUUCCAUGACAUGGGGGGGGGGGAAGGAAAAAUCAUCAUUAAGUUUUUUUAAUGGAUCAAUUGGUACAUAUAAAUUAGAAGGCACUGAAUCUGUACACAUUACAUGCUAUUUACAACAACGGUGAAUAUUCUCCUUCAGGAAGCGAUCCCAUGUAUACAAUGUAAACCUUUCAUCAAGUAAAAGAAAGGCACCAUCAUUCCUUGCCUUGCUGUACCUUAUUGAAUUUGAAAGCUUCAGUUCCAAUUUUCUUGCUAUUAAAUUGCAUUUGUUAAUCAAGCAUGUAAAAUGUAAUUGUGACUUUAUGAGUAAAAUGAAGUACUUGGCUGCCAUAUAUAUAUAUAUAUAUAACCCUGGAAACUUAAUACUUUUAUAGACAUGAAAACAGAGGGGAUCAGCAGCUACCAUUGCCAAUUAACGACAGGGAUUAUAUCCAAAUAUAGACAAUUUUAACCAUUGUUUAUUAUAAUUCCUUUUCUUUCUUUUUUUUUAAGCAUAAACUUUUGCCCCUUAUGCUCCUCUUAGAGAGCCAAGAUCCUAGCAUCAAGGGGGGCCAAUCUCAGAUAGCACAUGAAAUGUAGUAAUAGAAUAGUUAAGUGCAACAAUGCCUAUAUUAAAUAUACCUUUUUUUCUUUCUGAAUUAAUUAUACUUUCAAAGUGAAGUUGUGCAUAAAUUCAAAAGUGAAAACCAUUCUAUCUAUUUGAGUUUAGAAACGUCGAAAGAAUUUUUAUGAAGGGUAAUAUUCAUUUUUAGCUUUAAAUAGGUCUAACGUUCUUGGGAAGGGUAAUAAUUAUGAAUAUUUAAUUAUUUAGGGCAGGCAAUAUAGAUGGAAAAUUGAAUUUUAUAAAUUCUAAAUGGGAAAAUAAGAGCAACUUUAAAAAUUUUUAGACUUUCUAAACUUAAAAACUAAUUUCCUUAAAAAUGUGAAAUGAAGGGGGAAAAUGGUGGGGGGAGGGGGGGGGGAAUGCAAGCUACAUGUGGUUCCACCACUGUUUCUUCACCUUUAUUUAAUCCACCCAAAUAUCUUUUUCCUAACAUCAAAGAAUUUAAGGAUCAUACAGUAUCAAAUGAAAACUUCAUGGGUACAAAAUGGUUCUUAGUAGGGUAAGCCUCUCUCUCUUUGGACAUAGUAAAAAGAUCAAAGAUGCAUGCCCAUUCUUGUGCAUAAUUAGUAUCAAAAAACUACCUCAUUUGUUUGGACAGCUUUAGAAGGAGAAGGGAUAAUGGGCCAAUGAGAACUUUGGGGGGAAGGGGGGUGGAAAAAAAACCCUUUACCACAACAAUGCCAUUAACUUAUUGAUAGAAGGAUCACAUCAUGAAAUAAAAAAAAUAAUAAAUUAAACUAUACAUAUAUAAUCAUGUAUAAUUUCUUGAUUAUAUAUAUAUAUAUAAAUAAAUUAGAAAUAAAAAGCUGUAAAACCAAAAAGAGUAGAAUAGCCAUUGUUGCCUUCUCAAUAGAAGCAUAGCGAUUAUUGAGGCUGGAAAAACUAACAACCAAAACCAUGUUUUAACUUUUCCUUGAGGUUGUGAUAUAUAUAUAUAUAUAUAUAUAUAUAUAUAUAUAUAUAUAUUCCCCACCACAACAAAGUUUUCAUUUAAAUUAUCUUUGAAUGCAAAAAUGAGCUGUACUUUUAUGAACUUGUCUGCUUAAAUUACAUUAGAUUUUGUUAACGUUGUAAAGGAAACACGUUCCUCUAACAAUUGUGAUGGUAAUAUUUUUGAAAUCUAAAUUUAAUGUGCAACGCCUCCUCGCCUAUUUCAGAUGGCAUGACUUAUCCGUUAUGCUUGUUUGUGGAGGCGUAAAUUGACCAAACUACCUUCCAUUUUUUCCCUUCCUACAGGACAAAGAAAAUAUAUAACAUUUCUUAGUUCAAAAUAAUACUGGAAAAAAUAAGAAUCAGCAAAAUAUUUACAUUUCAUGUCAAAGAAAGAGAUGCAUCAAAACAAAAAUCACGGCCUUUCGAAGCUUAUUGUGACUUGCAGAGAAGCUUAAUCCUUGAUACAAAAUAUGCAUUUUCAUAGUUAUUAUGUGCCUUAUUUUCCAAACACUAUUGUGGUUAAUUACCAUUUUUGUUUUAGAAAUUAGUCGUCCAAUUGUCAUUAAGAAUGGGUUUUUUUUUUUAAUCAUAGGCUACUAUUUUAAUUAAGAACAAUUUUCUCAUGUUAUUUCUUUGGAAUUUUGUUGAUUAUGAUAAAUGGAAUCCUAAUGACAGUUGUUUGUGAUGUGUUUUUCAAAUUCAUUCUUUUGGAUUCAGUUGGUACUAGCUUAAUUAUCUUUAUUAACUCUACUGAAAUGGAUUGAGCUAACAAAUUUGGGGGUUUCUGAUUGGGCUCCUAGUGCUUUUGAGUGUAGAGCGGUGUCUAUUAGCGAAUUUCCAUUAUCAAUUUUGGGUCGUACUCCCAACAGCCCAAAGAAUUUAAUUUACAAAAAUGAAAAUCCGUUUGAGUUUUAAUACUACACAUAUACGCCCCAAGAUUCAAUUUGGUUGGCAAGAACAUUACUCAUGUGAUUGUAAGCUAUAUGAGUCGACUCUCAAUCGCUUCUCUUUUAUUCCUUUUUAAGGUUUGAAGUCUCUCCUUGAAAAAAAAAGAAAAAAAAAAAAGAGAAAACCCCACAUAUACUAUUGAAGUUGCAAAUUUUGUUAAUAAAACCAAAAACAAAUAUAGAAAAUUAUUAUAAACUAUUUAUUGCAAGUUUUGUCAAUCAUACACCAAUUAUGACUAACUUAAGAAAUAAUAGUUUCUUUUCCUUUUAAAUAGUAAAUAAGUUGAAUAUCCAAAAAAAAGAUAAAUAGAAAUCUUAGUUUGUUUUGAAACAUUAUAUAAACAUGCAUCAACACAAUGCAAAUCAUAAAUGGUAGGAAAAUAUUGCUGUAUGCUAUGCACGACACUAUACGACAGAAAUAAAGCAAAAGAUACAUAGUCCAUUUCUUUUAGUUUUUAGCUAUUUACACGUCUGUGUAUAUUGGUAUAACCAUGUCGUGUUUUCUUAGUACUUUUUGCACACUAAAUGCGGAAACAAAACCAAUCAACUAUAAUUGUCUCUAAUUAAAAAAAAUUUUGGAGGAUAAGGAAUAAGGAGAAAGAAUUAAAGAUUAAAAUGAAUGAAAUGCUUGCUACAAUUCUAAUUUUUUAUUUUUUUUCCCUUUUUUUGUGAUAGACAUUUUUUCCUUGAAGAAAAAAUAACACAAAGACAAUAAAUGUUAAUUAAGGAUUUUCAAACAUUCUGGCAUCAGCUGGUGAUAAUAAUAUCAUCUUCGUUACAUGCCUUUUUACUCACAAUAAAAAAAAAAGGCAUGUCAGUAUAAGUUACUUAAUUCUGCUCUCAAGUUUCCCCUCCUCUCGUAUAGUAUAAACUGCCUUACAGUCACUAGCAGCCUACUACAAUAAAAGCUAGGGUAAUAUUAAUAUCCUGUAAUCUGAACCCUAAAUAGCUGGGAAUUCCCAGUCAAGUCUUGCUGAUAAACAAAUGUAUCCCAGUGCCUAUUUAGGAUUGCGGAGGAAAAGGUUUUUUAGCUAGUAGAUAUUCUUUUUUUUUUGUUAAAGUAUUUUCUACUUAAUAAUGUAUAAUUCUGAAAUUUUUUGAAACAUAUUUCUCUCUUCAUUUAGUUAAAGUUUAUGAUAAAAUGGUUAAAAUCAAAUUUUUAUUUUUUUAAAAUAUAGAAAAAAAUUCUAAGAGUGCCAAUUUCGAGCUUGUAUUAAAAAUGCCUGAGUGCCAAAAAAUUUUACUCCUAAAUUCAAAAAAUGAUACCUUAAAAGUUCUUUUAUUCUCCAAAUAUACUUUUUCAAUACAAGCAGUACCGUAAUAUCAAACAGACUCCCAGUAUCUCAAAAAAAAAAAAAAAAAAAAAAGAAGCAAGAAUAGCUGCCAACGGUUUCAAAAAGUUAUUGUAUGAUUCAAUAUCACGUGUGAAUAGAGCUGUUAAUCGAGCCGAGUAUUUGGCUGCCGAACUCGACUCGAGCUCGUUAGGAAAACGGGUUUUAAAAUGUGUUCGAACUCGACUCGUUAAAUAUACAUGUGGCUUGAGCUCGAGCUCGAGCUCGACUCGUUUAUCACAAACGAGUCGAGUUUCACGAGCUCGAGCUCAAGUUCGUGCAAAUUAACUUUAAUAAAAAUCUAUAAUUUUUAAUUUUUAUAAUUUUGAUUUUUAAAAUAACAAAUAUACCCUUCAUUAAUGAGUUCUAACGAGCUACUCGAGUAUCAAACGAGCCGAGCUUGUUAACUAAACGAGCCUGUUUCGAGCUCGAGCUCGACUUGUUAAUCAAAAUUAACGAGUCGAGCUCGAGCUUUAAUGAGUCGAGCUCUAACGAACUUUCGAACUACUCGAUUGAUUUAAGCUCUACGUGUGAAUCUCACAAAAGGGUGUAUUAAAAUUACAAUUGUGUUCAAAGUAAUUUAUAUUAUUAUUAAACAAACAGAAUUACAAUUUGUUCAAAUAUAUGUAACCCUCCUCGAGGAUAGGCUGCUAGCUUGAUAGGUACUUUACCCUCAACCCUCAAGGAUAGGCAGCUAGCUUGAUAGGUAUUUUAUAUAAAUUGAUAGAUACUUUACCCUCAAGGAUAGGCUGCUAGCUUGAUAGGUAUUUUAUAUAAAUUGAUAGGUAUUUUACCCUCAAGGAUAGGCAGCUAGCGUGAUAGGUAUUUUAUAUAAAUUGCUAGGUACUUUACCCACAACCCUCAAGGAUAGGCUCUAGCUUUUGACUUGGUUCGGACUAGAGAAGAUGACAAACGGAUGUAGGGUCUUGAUUUAUGCCCUCUCUACUGCUCCGAAAUCUUCUUGUUAAAAUUCUCGACUAAGUGAAAGAAGGCCAAUUGCACCCCCCUCAACUUUUGAAAUCUCCGGAAUAACCUAAAAAAAUUUGUCUGAAUUUUUUGAAAUAUAUUUCUCUCUUCAUUUAGUUAAAGUUUAUGAUAAAAUGGUUAAAAUCAAUUUUUUAUUUUUUAAAAUAUAGAAAUAACUCUAAAAGUGCCAAUUUCGAGCUUGUAUUAAAAAUGCCUACGUGGCAAAAAAUUUUACUCCUAACUUCAAAAAAAUGAUACUUAUUAAAUACAUUAAAAGUGCUUUUAUUCUCCAAAUGUACUUUUUUAGAACAAGCAAUACCGCAAUCUCAAACAGACUCCUAGUGUCUCAACGAAAUAUAGCCAAGAACAGCUACCAACAGUUCCGAAAAGUUGGGCCUAUUUAGAACCUGAGUUUUUUAGGAGUUUGUCUAAAACUUUACUGUAGUGCACUGUAGAAGUUUUUGAAAAAAUUUUGUAGAAGUUUUUAUAAGGUGAAAAUUUUUUUUUGUAAGAUGAAAAAUUUUGUAGAGUGAAAAACUUUUUUUUUCCUUUUCUUUUUUUUUUCUCUUUCUCUUUCUUUUUCUUUUCUUUCUUUCCUUUUUCUUUUCUUUCCUCUCUUCUUCUUUUUCUUCUUCCUUUUUCUUCUUCUUUUUUCUUUCUUUCCUCCCCGUUACCUCCCAGCAGCACUUACGCCCGCCACCCCUCUCCUCCCUUUCCCCUUCUCCUCUCGCCACCUUCCCUCUGCGACCGUGACCCCCUCCCCCCCGCCACCCCCUGCCCUUUCCCCCUGCCACCCCCUGCCCUUUCCUCUGCCAGCAUGACCCCCUCCCCCCCACCCCUUUUCCCCAGCUUCUCCCGCCCCCUUCUGCCCUUUCUCUGACCCCUCUCCUGCCAUUUCCCCAGUUUCUCCUGCUACCUCCCAUGCGCGACCCCCUCCCCCGCCACCCCCUGCCCUUUCCCCAGCACGACCCCCUCCUCCCGCCACCCCCCGGACGGCGCUGAAAUAGUCCUCCGGUUUCCGGCAAAAAGCAUCGAGGAAUUUACGGAACUUGGAACGUUUCGUCGCGGAGGAUUUCCUCUUCUGCAUCCAGUUGAAUAAGGAAACCAUCACGUUGAAUUUGAUGUCAAAUUCCUCCAUUCUGGACUUUUUUUUCCCCCUUUUUUUCUUUUUCUGGGCUAUGAUUUUGCUUGUUCGGUUCUUGGGGUUCUAUGUUCACUUUUUGUGUUUGAAAAUGAAGGAUUUAAAAACUGCCUGAAAUGGGGAGGGGGAAGGGGGUAGGGCUGGCAGAGGGGAAGAGGGGAGGGGGGAGAGAAAAAAAAACUUUGUGUAUGGCCGGAACUGGCCGCCGGAAUAGUAACUGGCGUCGGAAGUGGUGCUGGAGGUGGUGGCCGGCAGCGGAGGAUGUGGUGGGUUGGGUGGGGGCGGAAAAAGAAAAAAAGUUUGAAGGGAAAGUUUUUUUUGUGUAUUUUUGAAGUGUGUAGGUAAAAAGUUUUGGGAAGUUUUUUGGGGUUCCUGUAGCAAAAGUUGUUAAAAAACUAGUAGGUAAAAAAUUUGGUCUAAAAACUCACUUCCAAACAGGCCCGUUAUUUUAUCAAAUUAACUUUACUCAAAUACAUAACCCUAAUCAUAUUAUAUUCAUAAAUAUAUAUAUUUUAAAUUAUUAAUCCAUUUAUAUCCAAAUCCGGGUCUAAUACGUGGCAGAAUACUAUAUUCCGUAUUCAACCCGUUUUUUGUUUGACAAAAUGGAUCCGGAUCAGGAUCCGGAUAACGGAAUUAAAUCCCUAUCCGUACCCGCAAUAAUUUCACGGAUCCGGUCCGGGUCUAAAUCCGAACCAUUGACAGGCCUAAUUGUAUGAUUCAGCGUCAUGUGUGAAUCUCGCAAAAGGGUGUAUUAAAAUUACAUUGUGUUCAAAGAAAUUUAUAUUAUUAAUCAAACAGAUUUAAAAUUUGUUCAACUAGAUGUAACCCUUCUGGCAGCGCAACGGUCCCUGCCCUUAUGGAUAGGCUGCUAGGUUGAUAGGUAAUACCAUACCAUUGAGUAAUAGCAACCUCUGGCUGGUAUGCCAAACUAUCUACAAAAGAUAAGCUGUUAGCUUGGUAGGUAAUACCAUACCAUACCAUUAAGUAAUACCAUGCCUUUAUUGUCCUUUUGUGUUGUUGCUUUUGUAUAAGGGAACUCUUGAGACUAAGAAGCUAGAGAAUCACACUGGGCAAAAGUUACAGUAACUGAAUUUAGAUUGAACAAACCAUCAGCCUUUGGGUUAGUGGUGACCACCAAGCGGAAGCCUUAUCUCCUAAUUGCCAUAUUAUGUGGCUCUCUAAAAAAUCUAGACGGGUGUGUACUAUACCCGUUGUAUACCCAUCUAAUUCGAUGAUGGUUCAAUUCCCGUCGAUUCUCUUCCAUUGGCUCAGUUGGGCCUUCACUUAAAAUAGGUUAGAGUAGGAGUAGGAGUAUAUGUAAAGUAAACUAUUGUCGACCGUAAAAAAAAAAAAUUUAGAUUGAACAUGAAUUUAGCAAUUUAGCCACCUGAAAUGCUAUCCUGAUAAGUUGCCAAAACUGAAGUUUAUGCUCAAAAAAAUUGCUGGAACUGAACACUGCUCCAAACGGGACUAAUGGGUUUUAUUUUGUUUACUCCAGGAAACUUUUAUAGAUCCAGGGUUAGAAGUGUUAUUCCUCUUGAUAUACUGAUUGAAUUUUCUAAGCUUCCUCAAGUCAUUUGCCUAACUUUUGAAUUGGUUCGGACCAAAGAAGGAUGACAAACAGAUGUAGGCAGGAGUAGGGUCUUGAAUCUUGUUAAAAUUCUCGACUGUGGAAGAAGGCAUAUCAAUUUUAGCUAUUAGACUAAAACUUUCUCGAUAUAUUGAAAAUUUGACAUUCACUACGUCAUAACAUGUUUUAACGUAUGAUCACCAUUUUCUUGUUUUGAACAUACACGUCAGUCAUUCAAUGUGGCUAAUUAAUAUCUGUAUAUUGCUAAUUCUUUCCACUAAUUAAGUGAUAAGAUAAUUAUUUUGAACGAUAUUUGUAGGAAAAUUGUAACAUAAUAUUUUAUUAAUAACCGCUUUUGUGAUAGUAAAAGAAGUUAGAAAGUAAUUCCUGAAAUUAAUCCCACAUCGAUCAAAGGGGGGUUGAGGGUUAGAUUAUUAGUUUCCUGGAUGAUCUCAAGAGUUGCCGGUUUUUGAGAUUUACUUGGGAUUAAGGGUUAGUAAUUUAAUUCUGGUUUCUUCAUUGAAAGUAAUUCUUGAAAUUAAUGUGGUUAAAAAAACGCUCCAUCCAAACAGAAAAUUCACGUCUUUUGAUUCUUUUUGUCUUUCGUGGAAGUAAUCCACGAAUUGGACACUUGAGAAAAAAUGGAGCAUCGAUUAAAAGAACAAUCAAGUUUACGUGACCAGAUAAAAAGAACAAUGAGCAGGGGCGGAGUCAAGGCCAGCCCAAUUGCACCCUCCUCAACUUUUGAAAUCUCUAGAAUAACCUAUAAAAAUUUGUCUUUUAUUGUUGUUGCCCAACUUUUGCCUCCCUUGAAAUUUAAUAAUAUUCCCUCUAACCUUACAAUUCCCCCCCCCACCCAAAAAUUUUAAAAUUGUAUGCAGUUACCACCAUCAUUUCUACAAUGCAACAUUAACAUAAAAUAUAUUAUACGAUGCUAUUUUUAUUUUCUUUCUAACAAAUCUUAUUCACUCAACAUUAAGCUUAUCAUAUAUAUUAAACUAUAUGAAUUACAAGCAAAUCAAACAUAUAUAUAUUCAUUUGACUCUCUAUACAUUAUCCGCCUAUUGUAUGUAUGAAUAUAUACAUCUAAUACGCAAUGCAUAAUUUAAUUAUUAUGCACUUUUAUACAAUUUUUAUGCAUAGUUGUAAUUACUAUGUAAUUUUAUCCCAUUAGAAGACCUGAUAAUUUUUGCAAAUGAAAACAAGUUGUAGAUAAUUUUUUAAAUUAUUUUAAUAUUAAGUAAAGUGGCAGUACAUCAAAGACAUUUAGUUAUCCCAAAAAUAUCCCAAAAAUCUAUAACACAUUGUAAACCUAUGUUAGUAUUGUAAACCUAUGUUAGUAUUAUUACAGGAGAUUAUACAACUCCUUCUGGUAUCGUAUCCUCAAGUCAAAUUCAUGGUUAGAUGGUGAAAUAAGUUUUUCGGACCCUUAGACUGUAUUACUUCAAUCAUUUAAAAUUUGAACCACUAUUAAUUACCACUAAAAGAUAAAAAUUACGGGAAUGGUUUCUCAAGGGGAAUAUAAAAUUUUCUUAUUAUUGCGCCUCAUGAAUAAAGGUCCUAACUCCACCAAUGACAACGAAGGAUGGCAGCUGGCUGAAAUUAUGCGGAAGGAUUAUGCACAUAUCCGCAUCUUUUGAAUCAUUCCUAUUCACCAAUAUAAACCCCCAAGCUGUGGCAUCUUGAAACCACAACCAGAUACCAGUUCACUUAGAAAGUUUGAAACACCAUGAAGUUCACCUACACUUUGUCCCUUCUGGUUUUGUGCCUAACUUUGUACUUAACCUUCACCAAUGCUGCAAAUUUCAACAUUAUAAACCAAUGUACCUACACAGUUUGGGCAGCUGCUUCCCCAGGCGGUGGCAGGCGGCUCGACCGAGGCCAAUCAUGGUCCCUAAACGUGGCUCCUGGCACCACCCACGCUCGCAUUUGGGGCCGAACCAAUUGCAACUUUGAUGCCAAUGGCCGAGGCCAAUGUCAAACAGGUGACUGCAACGGGGGCCUCGUAUGCCAAGGCUAUGGAAAGCCUCCGAAUACACUAGCUGAAUUCGCCCUAAACCGGCCUAACAACGUAGACUACAUCGACAUUUCCAACGUUGAUGGAUUCAACAUCCCAAUGGAGUUCAGCUCCGUUACUCGUUGCCGUAAUAUCAGAUGUUCAGCGCCUAUUGUUGAUCAAUGCCCAGCUAAGCUAAGAACUCCAGGUGGAUGCAACAAUCCCUGCACUGUCUUUAAAACAAAUGAGUUCUGUUGCACCAAUGGCCCAGGAAGCUGCCGCCCGACCGACUUCUCCAGGUUCUUUAAGAGCAGGUGCCCUGAUGCUUAUAGCUAUCCUCAAGAUGAUCCCACAAGCUUGUUUACUUGCCCAAGUGGUACAAAUUAUAGGGUUGUCUUCUGCCCUUAAAUAAAGCUAGAUAUUUAAGGUUCUUGUGACAGCUUAUAUGCUCCAAGAACUUCACUAGAAAAGUAGAUUAUGAGAAAUAAACGCAUAUGUGAACCUUCUGGUAAUGGUUCACUGGAAUUGGGAUAAAUUUGAGCACAUAUAGCAUUGUGCGGUUUGUCUUCUUUAUCAGCUUUUUGGCUUUAUAAACUACUUAUGAACUAGAUGACCAGUUCAAAACUAAUGAAGUUUUACUAAAUUAAUCAGUAAGAAGGAUUUACGGAUCUCUAGUUUUAAAUUAGAUUGUCAAAAUACUUUGUUCCCCACACUUCGAAAAUUUGAGUCAUGUUUAGGUUUAACUUACAUAGGAGAAUUCCUUUUUUUUUUUUUUUCUGAAAUUCAGACCAUCUCUCCAGUCAAAUACUAAGAUGUCAUAUAAAUCAAAUUAAUUUGUUUAAGUGUAUUACACAAUCAUACUUCAUGUAUAUAAAUGUUACCACAAAAUCAAGAGUAAGAAAAGUUUGUCUUGCAACUAUUCAAGAAAUGGAAGCUUGGUGUAAAUUCAAAACAAAAAUGGAGAUUUCUAUACUAAGGUAAACCCCAAAAUAAUUGAAAAUGAUAAUCUCAUGAAAUAACAAAGAUGGUGAGAUGAAAGAUUACUAAGUAAGAUAAAGGUGCGAUUAAGGCGUUCAAUCGAGGAAACUUGUAGAUGCCAAAUUGACAAUUUGAUGCACAUAUGCUUAAUAGUAUUCAAGUGUUCAUUCUUAAAAGUUGGAAUUGGGCCAAUAUUGUAAUUCAGCCCGGUUGUAUAUUUAUUACAUUAUACUGUUAUAUUCAUGGAAACAGUGAUGUAAAUGAAUAAAACAUUUCAUCUACAGUGAAUAUAAUAUUAGGGUAAAUUAUUUAUAAUUCUUCUGUAAUUUUAUAUAAUGUCAGACGAUCUCCCAUAUGUUUCAAAAUAGUCACAUCACCCCCUAUGAUUUUAUGUAAAGCAGAGAAUAAAUAAAAAGUACUAUCAAUUACAAUGUGUAUACCAAACGUGCUCUAAAAAUAUGUGUCAUAAAAUCUUAGUUUUCAUGUAAUCCACUUAUGAGAUGUAUAAUUAUCCACUUUACCUCCUAUAAUUUUUGUAUUUAUCCAAAUAAUCCCCUAUGCUUUUAUAUAAGAUAGUUAAACUGUCAAUUGAUUUAGCAUUUAUACAAGGGCACUAUUAAUAUGUUAAUUAAUAGUCGUCCAAGCAACCAUCAAGACACAGCCAACAGAACAAGCUAUUAGCAACUCAAAUUUUAUCAAUCAUUACAUGUACUAGAGCUUAAUUGGCAAGGAAGAAGUGAAUUUACUUGGCUUUUAAUUCGUUCUUUAUCCUCGAAGCAGUCUUUGCAUAUCUACCAGAGGGAAUUUUGUCAAUGUAUUAACUGCAUUUCCCUGCUUCACUAAUGGUUAGAACAUAAAUAAAGCAAGGUGUUCUGGAACAACGUCAAAUCAAACAUAAAACCAAUUUAUGCAUGACAAGGGCAGAAAUUAAGGUCAAUACAUGCUGCUAAAUUUACUCCAUUACCAAGGACAACUUCACCGAUGAUCUUGGGAUUUGUAGUAGUUGUUGCGAUGGUGAACAACCAUGGUGCUGUACUUGUAAUCUGUCCUUGUACAAGACCAUUAUUUCCUGCCGAUUACAGUAAGUAUUCCCUUCUGUGCUGCAUGAAAAGAUCCAAUUGCUAUAGAAUUAUCUUUCAAUCAACCGGAUAAUUGAAACCAAUUAAAAUUGUAAUAAUGUCUACUCCAUCGGCUAUAGCAUCGUUGAAUCAAGCCAAUAUAUCAGCAUCAUCACAGCAUGGAAAAGCACAAGCAUUGUAUACAGCAUUCCUUGCUGCAGGCGCCCCUCCUCGUAUAGUACCUUCUACAAUUCCAUAGUAACUCACAUCCAUGACAAUGUUUCCUGCAGCUGUGUGCGUUCCAUUAUGACCCUAUAAAUCUGUUGCAGAAUCUGAUACAUGGUACCGAGCUCCAAUAAUUUUUCUGUAGACAUGUACACAUCAAAAUGAUAAUCGAAGUUUCCCAUUCAACAUUUCCUAUGUAAACUAACAAAAAGUAGAAACUUUUCCUGUUGCACAUGAAAUCAAUCCCGCCGUAACACACUCCUUUCCAUUUGCUGGGAAUAGGACCAAAACUUUGUUCACGAAAACUCUCUGAUUCUGGCCAAAUUCCAGAAUCAAGUAACUCCUAUGACUAUAUCACUCUCAAAUGCAAGAUUUCGGGGGGCACUUAUAGGAAAACAAAUAAAGUCGCACGAUGCUGUUGUAUAAGUUGAAGCCUUUUGCUUGGAAAUAUAGAAACCACAUGAUCAUGAGCUGCAAAUUUAGUUAAGAACUCACACAUUAGUGGAAGAUUAAUAGAUUUCAAAAAUCAGGAAAGUUGAAAGAGACUAACGUUGCAAAAUUGCACAGACCAGCCAACUUUUGCUGCUCUUGCUUUGUAAGGUAGGCUGAAAAUCCAUUGAAACUCCUAGUAUAACUUCUUCCCAAGAUUUCCCCUUGAUAAUUUCCAUGACAUAAAGAAAAAGAAAUAAAUAAUGUUAUAAAAAAGUUUUUUUUAUGCAUCAAUUGGUAUGUAGUAUAAGUUUGUGGGCACUGAAUAUAUGCAUUAAUUGCUAUCUUAAGCUUCUUCCAGGAUACUAACAUGGUGCUCGGAAGCUGAAUAUUCUCUUUCAGGAUGCGAUUCCACGUAAACUGUAAACCUGUCAUCAAGUAAAAGAAAACUAUCAUUUCUUGACUUGCUGCAUGUUAUUGAAUUUGAACGCUUCAGUUAUGCGACAGUUAUAUUUAUCGUGUAAAAUGUUGUAGUUAUGAUCACUACAUUGAAGUACAAUGCUGCAAAUUCAAUAUAUUACCCGAUACGCAUUAAUCAAAGAAAAUUAAUCUUUUACAGAAAUGAAAAGAGAAGAUAUCAAUGGCACUAUUGCCAAUACUGAUGGGCAACAUAUCCAGUUCUAUAGGCAACAUUAGCCAUUGUUUUCAGGAAUUACAUUUUCUAGCUCCAACUAUAUAUUGUUACUUAUGUUCCUUAAUGUAUGUUAAUCUCUAUUAGUACAUUUUUUCAGACCUAAAAGAUUUCUGGGUCGUACAAUACGAAAUCAAAAGGUGAUGUGUACAAAUGGUCCUUAGAAAGGGUAAGCCUGUCUCUUAGGACUUAAAUACAAGGAUCAAAGAUGCAUGUCCCAUUUUGUGCAUAAUUAAUAUCAAAAACCAACCUGAUUUGUUUAGAAAAGUUUGUUAAAACAAUGCAACAUUACCUUUAGUCAAAAAUCGUGGGCUAUUGUUGCAUUUAUGAGUUACAUAAAAGUCAUCCAUACAGGCAGAAGAAAUCCAGCAUUUCUUGCGGCUUUGGAGUGCUUCGUUUUUACUCAUGCUUGUAUCUUGAGCCAGAUUUGAUAUCUCAAGAAUGAGACUCUGAUAAGAUUAGAGUAAGUAUGCUCAAGAUUUGAAGCGAGGCUCAACUUAGUAAUGUUUUGUGCAAGAUUAUUUGUGAGUGUUGUUAUUUUAUACAUUUUUUUAGUGUAAUGUAUUAUUUGUUUGCCUUUAUUAUCAGUAGACUUAAUCCAUUAAUUUGGUAAAUCCACCACAAUCUAACAAAGCUCUGUUACUCGGGGAGUCCCAUGGACACAGUACCCGUACAAAAUAAAGAUUCCAACAUAGAUAUGGGAGGGCAAAAUAGAGAGUCUGAAAAACAUAAUAGAAAAGCUUGAGAAGGGAAGUGGAUAAUGGACCAAUGAGAACAAGAAAAUAAAACAAUUAAACCCUAAUAUUUAUUCUCAUCCACUUAUUGAGUAGAAGGAUCAUGUCAUGAAAUCAAAAGAUUAUGGAAUAACUUGUAACAAAAUAUUUUUCCCGUAAUGAUAUACUAUAUCCCAUAUGAUUGAAGAAAAAGAAAAAUGACUUGCCUGACUUUCUUCACCAGAAUGGUGCAUAAUAGGCUCAUUAGAAUUGCUAAUACAAAUAAGAAACAAAAUGCUAUAAACCCAAAAGAGUAGUACAGCGACCCUAAAACAUGCUUUAACUUUUCCUUAAAGUUGUGACUCAAAUAUUUAAGAUCACAACAAAGUUCUCAUUUCAAUUGUUCUAAAUGCAACAACGAGCUGCAUGCAUAUUGACUUGUCUUGCUACAUUGAUUAAUAGUUUUUAACGUUGGAAAGGAAACACAAAAAAUUUAAGCUAUAGUGAUGAUUGAGUAAUAUUUCUGAGAUCUGAAUUAAAAUGUGUAAUACCUUUCCUAUUUCGGAUGGUAUGAAUUAUGCGUUAUGUUUCUUGUAGGGAGAUGUAAGUUGGCCUACCUACCUUCCAUUUUUGCCUAUAAAAGAAAUUUUUUGUUCAAUAUAAUACUGGAACUAAUAAGAAUUAGAAAAGUAUUUCUAUUUCCAGUCAAAGAAAAUUGAGACGUCAAAACCAGAAACCUUAUUGUAACUUGAAUGUUUGUGAUGUCUUUUGUAAGCAUUAUUUUCCAUUCAGUUGGUACUAGCUUAAUUAUCUUUAGUAAGGUUCUAUUUGAUAAUUUAACUCAGCACUCAAACUUAAUGGGUUCAGAUCAUAAUAUGUUCAAACGCAUUUGAUAACUAAAAAUAAGACAUUUGAAUUAAUUAAGUGACACUGAAUUUUGCACAAUUUAUUUCAAAAAUAAGUGAUAAAUUAUUCAAGUAUCACUUAAUGUGAUAUACAUUUAAAUGUUUCAGAUUUAAUACUCAACAAUUCAGUAAAUUAACGAAUUUAGACUUUAGAUUUCAAAUUUCAUUUUUCAAACUUUAGUUUUAUCAAACGUACCCUAAGGGUGUGUUUGAUAAAACUGAAGUCUGAAUCUAUUAAAUUAUUGAAUUUUUAAGUAUUAAAUCUAAUACAUUUGACUGCAUAUCACAUUCAGUAAUAAGUGAAUAGCUUAUCACUUAAUUUUGGGAGCAAAUUUUGCCUAGAAAAUUUAAUACUAUUUAAUUAAUUCAGAUGUUAAAUUUUUUAUUAUCAAAUGGUCUGAAUAUAUUAAAAAUUGAAUCCAUUAAGUUUAAAUGCUGAAUUGGAUUAUCAAACAGAAUCUAAGUCUAUUAAGGGGAUUGAACCAAUAAAUUUGAUGAGUUUCAGUUUAACAAUAUAUUUAACAAAUUAUCACUGCCCAAUAAGGGCCCAUCUAAAAACACUUGAAACAAGUGCAUGCUUGUUUGGUGAUUUCCGGCUGGGCUCCCGCUGCUCUUGCAGUGUCCAUUAACGAAUUCCUAUUGUCAAUUUUGGGUCGUAUAUCCACCAGCCCAUGGAAUUUAUUUACAAAGGGAAAUCCUUUUAAGUUGUGAAUUUAAUUAGUAUAACGAGAAAUAAUUUGAGAAAAUUACAACAAAGUACAAACCAUAUGUGCAAGUUUUCUCAAACACAUACCAAUUAUGAAUAGCUUAAGAAAUGAUGAAUAAAUCAUCUUUUUCAGCUUUUCUUUUUGGCCCAUUGUUAAAUCUUCUUUGUUCCCUCAACAAAAAAAAAAAGAAGAAAGAAAUAAACUUCAUCUUUUUAAUUAGUGAAUAAAAUGUAUAUGAAGAGAAAAAGAUAAUUAAAUAUCUUAAUACUAAAACAUAAUGCUACUUAAGAAGUUUCAAAAAUUUUGGUAUCAGUUAGUGAUAAUAAUUUCUCCUAACGCAUUCUUUUAUCUACUACAAAAAAAAAACGUUAUAACUUAUUAUAAAAACCAUCCAAAAUCACAUUGAUUCUUAAGUAUUCCCCUUUCUCCUUGUAAGGGAUGAAUUGCAUCCAAAUCAGGUUCCUUACAAGUGGCUAGCACCCUAAUGGCCUAAUCCAUGGAAGCCAUAUUACAAAAGUGGACUACAAAAGCUAGGGGAAUAUAAUUUCCCAUACUUCUUAUUGUAAUCAUUCCCAAUUUACCUUGGCAUAUACUGGUUUGUUACAAGACUUCAAUCGCUAGCUCUGAACCUCUGGCUAGUAUGUAAUGGCAGAUUAUCUACUAGGAUCAGAGGCAGUUACUAGAUUGGAAAUCAAUACCAGACUAGUAGUGCCCUUUAUCUUGUUGCUUUUGUAUCAUUGGGUUCUUGAAAACAAAAGGCUAGAGAAUCACACCGGGCACAAGUUGCAGUAAAUGAAUUUUGAUUGAACAUGAAUUUAGCAUUUUACCCACCUCAAAUGCUAUUCUGGAAAGUUGCCAAAACUGAAGUUUAAGCUCAAAAAACUGCUUGAACACUGCCCCAAACAGGGCCUUUUUUUUUUUUUUUUUUUUUUUUUUAAAAACUACUUGAGUAAGUUCUACGAAAUCCAGGACUAGAAACUCUUGUUCCACUUGAUACGCUGAUUGUCUUGAUGCCAUUUGCCUAACUUCUGAGUGGAUCGGGACUGGAGAAGGAAGACAAACGCAUGUGUGGCCUUCAUUUAUGCCCCGUCUGCUGCUUCAGAAUCUAGUUGCAGUUCCCGUCUAAGAGGAAGAAUCUAAAGGACAAAGAAACAAGCAGAAGACUUUAGUAGUCAUGAAAUUAUCAUUAGUCUCCUCAGGGCUGGAAUUUGAAAAAAACCCUGAAUACUAACAUGUUGAUAUUGGCUACCCAGAACAGAAAGUUAUCGCUAAAAUAAUUACAAGCUAAUACCAUCAUUUCUAAUUUUGAACUUACGUUUCAGUGUAUCUAAUCCUUAUUAAUUUGUAUAAUUGCUAAUUCUUUCUACUAAUUAAGUCAAAAGAGAAUUGUUUUGAAUGAUCUUUUUUCUUUUUCGAAAAUUGUAAUAUAAUAUUUUGAUCAUAAGCGCAUUUGAGAUUUUCAAAGAUGUUAGAUAGUGAUUCUUGAAAACAACGAAAAACUCCACCCAAACAGAUAAGCCAUGUCUGUAUCUUUUUUCUAUCUUUCUUAGAGGUAAUCCACGAAUUGGACACUAACUAAGAAAACAUCAUAACAUUGACAUAUUAGAACACUGAAGUUCACAUUACCAGAAGAAUAAAAAAUGAGGGAUGAGAACUGACUGAAAUUAUGCAGGAGGAUUAUUGAGAGAGAAGCAUCUUCGAAUCAUUCCUAGAAUACAAGACAAGACCAUCAACAUCUCUGAAAUUUCUCAUGUAGAAAAUUUGUUAAGAAGAUUAACAUGUACGCGCAAAAUGAUAGCAGCCAAUCGCCCUAUAUAAACCCCCAAGCUGUGGCAUCUUGAAACCACAACCAGCUACCAGUUCACUUAGAAUUUUUGAAACACCAUGAAGUUCACCUACAUUUUGUCCCUUUUGGUUUUGUGCCUAACUUUAUACUUCACUUUCGCCAAUGCUGCAAAUUUCAACAUCACAAACAAAUGUACCUACACAGUUUGGGCAGCUGCUUCCACAGGUGAUGGCAGGCAACUCGACCGAGGCCAAUCAUGGUCCCUAGAUGUGGCUCCUGGCACCACCAAAGCUCGCAUUUGGGGCCGAACCAAUUGCAAAUUUGAUGCCAAUGGCCAGGGCCAAUGUCAAACAGGUGACUGCAACAAGCGCCUCAAAUGCCAAGGCUAUGGAAAUCCACCAAAUACGCUAGCUGAAUUUGCCCUAAACCAGCCUAACAACUUAGACUACAUCGACAUCUCCAACGUUGAUGGAUUCAACAUCCCAAUGGAGUUCAGCUCUGUAACUCCGUGCCGCGUUAUCAAAUGUUCGAAACCUAUUGUUGAUCAAUGCCCAGCUCAGCUAAGAACUCCAGGUGGAUGCAACAACCCCUGCACUGUUUUUAAAAGAAAUGAGUACUGCUGCACCAAUGGCCCAGGAAGCUGUGGCCCGACCGACUUCUCCAGGUUCUUUAAGAGCAGGUGCCCUGAUGCUUAUAGCUAUCCUCAAGAUGAUCGCACAAGCUUGUUUGCUUGCCCAAGUGGUACAAAUUAUAGGGUUGUCUUCUGCCCUUAAAUAAAGCUAGAUAUUUAAGGUUCUUGUGACAGCUUAUAUGCUCCAAGAACUUCACCAGAAAAGUAGAUUAUGAGAAAUAAACGCAUAUGUGAACCUUGUGGUAAUGGUUCACUGGAAUUGGGAUAAGUUUGAGCACAUAUAGCAUUGUGCGAUUUGUCUUCUUUAUCAGCAUUUUGGCUCUUUAAACAACUUAUGAACUAGAUCACCAGUUCAAAACUAAUGAAGUUUUACUAAAUUAAUCUGUAAGAAGGAUUUACAGAUCUCUAGUUUUAAAUUAGAUUGUCAAAAUACUUUGUUCCCCGCACUUCAAAAAUUUGAGUCAUAUUUAGGUUUAACUUACACAGGAGAAUUCCUUUUUUUUGGAAUUCAGACUAUCUCUCCAGUCAAAUACUAAGGUGUCAUAUAAAUCAAAAUAAUUUGUUUUAGUGUAUUACAUAAUGUUACCACGAAAUCCAGAGUAAGAGAAGUUUGUCUUACAAACAUUGAAGAAAUGGGAUGUUGGUGUAAAUUCAAAACAAAAAUGGGGAUUUCCAUGCUAAGGUAGACCCCAAAACAAUUGAAAAUGAUAAUCUCAUGAAAUAACAAAGAUGGUGAUAUGAAAGUUUACUAAGUAAGAUAAAGGUGCAAUUAAGGAGCUCAAGUGAUGUGGAAACUCGUAGAUGCCAAAUUGAUAAUUUGAUGCACUCAUGCUAAAUAGUACUAAUUCACUCUUAAAAGCUGGAAUUGGAGCCACUGCUAGAAGUUCCAUGAAGUUCAGUUCAAUUGUUAUAUUUAUUACGUAAUAUUAUUAUGCUUUUGGAAAAAGUAAUAUACAUGAACGAAAAUACUUGGUAUGUAGUGAAUACAACAUUAUAAUGUAGUUGUCUACCAAAAAUUUAAAUACACACAAUAAAAUAAUGCAUAUCUAUUCAAAUUAUGUAUCAGAAAAGAGUUAAAUAUUGCUCUAAGGAUAAAAAAUUAAGUGAUUAUAUAAUUGUUUUGAACGCUAUUUUUAGGAAAAUCAUUAUAUAGCAUCUUAGUGAUAACUGCUUUUGUGAUAUUAAAAGAUGUUAGAAAUAAUUCCUGAAAUUAAUCUGGUUAAAAAACGCUCCAUUCAAACAGAAAAUUCAUGUCCUUUUUUUUCUUUUUUGGUCUUUCGUAGAGGUAAUCCACAAAUUGGACACUUACGAAAAAGCAUUGGAACAUUGAUUGAAAGAACAACGAGGGAUGAGAACUGACUGAAAUUAUGCAGGAGGAUUAUGGACAGAUCCGCAUCUUUUGAAUCAUUCCUAGGAUACAAAACAAGACCAUCAACAUCCCUAAAAUUUCUAUGUAGAAAUUUGUUGAAAUAUCAACACUUCCAUGCAAAAUCAUAGCAACCAAUUCACCUAUAUAAACCCCCUGGCUGUGGCAUCUCCAAACCACAACAGCUACCAGUUGAAUUGGAAGGUUUUGAAGCACCAUGAAUUUCACCUACACUUUGUCACUUUUGGUUUUGUGCCUAGCUUUAUACUUAACCUUCACCAAUAGCUGCAAAUUUCAACAUUAACAAAAUAAACACAUAAAACAAUUAAACCUUUACCAUGUAUUCUCUUUUACUUAUUGAUCGGUCACAUCAUGAAAUACAAAAGGAUUAUAGAAUUACUUACUUAUAUAAAUAUAUUCCAGGGUAAUGUUAUCUAUUCCAUAUGAUUGAUGAAAAGCGAAAAUGACUUGCCUGUCUUUCUUCGUCAGAAGAGUACCUAAUAGCCGCACUAGAAUUGCCAGCACAAAUAAGAAAUAAAAUGCUGUAAAACCAAAAAGAGCAGUGCAGCCACUGUUGGCUUCUAAAUAUCAGCAUAGUGAUUGUUAUGGCUACAACAACUAACCACCCGAAAACAUGUUUUAACUUUUCCUUAAAGUUGUGACUUAAAUGUUCAACAUCUUAAUGUAAGAGGAAGGAUUCAAUUCCCAGACCUCUUACUUGCACUCCCUCCCCUUUAAACUAUUCAACUCAUCUCAUCCCCGAGUUGUAUGUAUAUUGACUUGUCUUGUUAUAUUAAUUAAUAUCUUUUAACGUUGGAAAGGAAAUACAAAAAGUUUAAACUAUAGUGAUGAUUGACUAAUUUUUGUGAGAUCUGAAUUGCCAUGUGCAAUACCUUGAAGGUGUAAAUUGACCUACCCACCUUCCAUCUUUUACUACUGCUGGGCAAUUAAAAUAAUUUUUCUUUGUUCAAUAUAAUAGUGGAAUUGGUAAGAAUUAGGAGAGUAUUUCUAUUUCUAGUCUAAGAAAAUUGAACAAAUUUGACAAAUUUCAGUUUAAAAAUAUUGACAAAUUAUCACUGCCCGAUACGGGCCCAGUCCAUCUAAAACACGCUUGAAGCACAGAGCAGAUUGAUUUGGUGGUUUCCGGUUGGGCUUCCGGUCCUUGAUCCGCGUCUAUUAACGAAUUCGUAUUGUCAAUAUUGGGCCGUAUAAUCCACCAGCCCAUGGAAUUUAAUUUAGGAAAAUAAAUUUCUUUUAAGUUGUGAAUUUAAUUAGUAGAACGAGAAACAAUUCAGAAAAUUAGUAUAAAGUACAAACCAUAUAGUACAUGUUUUUCUCAAUAAAAUACCAAUUAUGACUAGCUUAAGGAAUUGAUAAAUAAUUCAUCUUUGUUCAGCUUUUCCUUUUGGGUGAUUCCCAUUAAUAAAAUCAUCUUUGUUCUCUCAAAAAAAAAGAAAAGAAAAGAAAAGAAAGAAAGAAACGAACUCCAUCCUUUUAAGUGGUAAAUAAAAUGAAUAAAAAGAAAAAUGCAAAUAAAUAUCUUAACACUGCAAAAAAGAAAUUGAUAUUGAAACAUACUGAUAUUUAAGAAGUUUUUAUAAAUUUUGGCAUCACCUACAGAUAAAAUGAUAUCUCUGUAAUGUGCCUUUUAUUAACUAUAAAAAAAAAAUACGUUACAGAGGUUCCAGUGGCAGAGGUAGAAAUACUUUUCAGUUGGGGCACGAAUUAACUUUCCCAAUUUUUUUCCAAUUUACAAGUGGCUAAUAAUAACAAAAGAUUAUUUUUUUAAAGGAUCAAAUCUAAUAGACUGAUAAACCACCACUGCUUUGUUAAUGAAAAAUGCAAAGCUAUGGGCCAAGGUAAGGUAAAUAUGCAAGCAAAAGUACGUUGGAACUUGGCAUCUAAAGAUUUGCAGCUAUUUGCUUUCUUCUUUGUUUACGUUUUGAUAAAUUAUACAAUAAUGACUAUGCUAUAUAAUAACUAUUUCAAAAUCCAGCCAAGGCACAAUUUAGAAUUUUCAAGAAAUCUCAAAACUAUUCUAGGUACCUCAUUUGGGUCAAUAGGGAUAUGUGCCCCAUUGGCCACAACGUAAAUCUACCCUUUUUUUUAGUAAAAAAAGUUUGGGUGAAUUUGAUUUCGAUUAUCGUCACGGGUCAAAAUCUGUUUCCGGAACUAUAAGUCGCUUGCAGAAGUUCUUAUAAAUCACCCAACAACAGAGACCUCACAAUGUAAAUCCACUUAUAGGUUCUUAGUUCGACGAUCUGAAGCUUUCCUUUGCCAUAAUAAAGCAUGAACUACAUUCAAACUGCAUUCCUUACACUGGGCACAAGUAGCAGUAAAUGAAUUUUGAUUGAAUAUGAAUUUAGCAUUUUAGGCUUGUAGCAACCAGAAAUGCUAUUCUGGAAAGUUGCCAAAACUAAAGUUUAAGCACAAAAAACUGCUUGAACACUUCACGAAACUGCCCAAAUUGGGCUUUUAAUUUUUUUUCUCCAAUUACUUGAGUAACCUCUACGAAAUCCUGGAAUAGAAACUCUUGUUCUACUUGAUAUCCUGAUUGAAUUGUCUAAGCUUCUUGAAGCUAUUUGCCUAACAUUCGCUGGUCUCAGACUUGAGUAGGAAGACAAACAGACGUAUGGUCAUGAUUUGUGCCCAUUCGGCUGCACCAAAAUCUUGUUGAAACUCUAGACUAAGAGGAAGAUUCCAAAGAAAAAUAUCAAAACAGAAGACUUUAGGAGUUACGAAAUUGGCAUUUAGUCUCCUUGGGUGUGGAAUUUGAAAUCAUCAUCAAUACUAACAUGUUGAUAUUGACUACCUCACAACAGAAAGUUAUCGCGAAAAUAAUUAGAUGCUAAUACCAAACGUUUUAAUCUCUAACCAUCAUUUCUUAUGUUAAACAUAGGUUUUAGCGUAGCUAAUCAAUAUAUGUACAAUUGCUAAUUUUUUCCACUAAUUAAGUCAAAAGAUAAUUGUUUUGAAUGGUGUUUUUGCGAAAAUUCCAAUAAAAUAUUUUGUUAAUAAACACAUUUGAUAUUUUCAGAGAUGUUAGAUAGUGAUUCCUGAAAACAGUGAGGUUGAAAAAACAUUUCAACCAAACAGAUAAGUCAUGUCUGUUUCUUUUUUCUAUCUUAGAGAAUUGGACACUAAAGAAAAGAAAUUGUAACAUUGAUAUAUAGAACAGUCAAGUUCACAUCACCAGAAGAAUAAACAAUGGGGGAUGAGAUUAUGCAGAAUAUGGACGGAUAAGCAUCUUUGAAUCAUUCCUAGAAUACAAGAAAGGGCCAUCAACAUCUCUGAAAUUUCUCAUGUAGAAAAUUUGUUAAGAAGAUUAACAUGUACACGCAAAAUGAUAGCAGCCAAUCGCCCUAUAUAAACCCCCUACCUGUGGCAUCUUGAAACCACAGCCAGCUACUAAUUCACUUAGAAAGUUUGAAACACCAUGAAGUCCACCUACACUUUGUCCCUUUUGGCUUUAUGCCUAACUUUAUACUUAACCUUCACCAAUGCCGCAAAUUUCAACAUUAUAAACCAAUGUACCUACACAGUUUGGGCAGCUGCUUCCCCAGGCGGUGGCAGGCGGCUCGACCGAGGCCAAUCAUGGUCCCUAGACGUGGCUCCUGGCACCACCCAAGCUCGCAUUUGGGGCCGAACCAAUUGCAACUUUGAUGCCAAUGGCCAAGGCCACUGUCAAACAGGUGACUGCAACGGGCGCCUCGAAUGCCAAGGCUAUGGAAGUCCACCGAAUACGCUAGCUGAGUUCGCUCUAAACCAGCCUAACAACUUAGACUACAUCGACAUUUCCAACGUUGAUGGAUUCAACAUCCCAUUGGAGUUCAGCUCCGUUACUUCUUGCCGUGACAUCCGAUGUUCAGCGCCUAUUGUUGAUCAAUGCCCAGCUCAGCUAAGAACUCCAGGUGGAUGCAACAAUCCCUGCACUGUUUUUCACACAAAUGAGUAUUGUUGCACCAAUGGCCCAGGAAGCUGUGCCCCUACCGACUUAUCCAGGUUCUUCAAGGACAGGUGCCCUGAUGCUUAUAGCUAUCCUCAAGAUGAUCGCACAAGCUUGUUUACUUGCCCAAGUGGUACAAAUUAUAGGGUUGUCUUCUGCCCUUAAAUAAAGCUAGAUAUUUAAGAAAAGUAGAUUAUGAAGAAAUAAACGGAUAUGAGAACCAUCUUGUAAUGGUUCACUGAAAUUGGAAUAAAUUUGAGCACAUAUAGCAUUGUGCGGUUUGUCUUCUUUAUCAGCUUUUUGGCUCUUUAAACUACUUAUGAACUACAUCACUGCUUACCAAAUUAAUCUGUAAGAUGGAUUUACACAUCCCUUGCUCUGACCCCUGAUUGCAUUUCUUCAAUUUCAAAACUGAGUUACCAUGUUAAUUAGAAAACACAGUGUCCAUGGAUUUUAGUGGUUUUAUUAUCCAUUACGAUUUGUAAUAAAAGAUCCUGGAGAAAAACAAAAUAACAACAACGCAGACAAAAAAAGUUAUACGAUAAAAUUAAAAAAAAAGUAAAAAGUUCUUUUACCCCAUCUAACUUAGCCAUAUAAGAAAAGAAGCUACAAAGUUCAGGAGCAGCCAAGAAUACAUCCACUUUGCAAACAAUUGAUCCGUUUCCUUUUCUUCCACCUGUCAUACUCCUUUCUGUUUUCCUUUCUCUUUUCUUCAAGUAUCAUCCAUGAAUCAGUUCCAGCAAUUUGAGGUAACAAUAAAAUCUAGGCUGUUCGGUGUCGUGGUUCAAUGGAUCUGAUACCACAUCUUGGACGGGUACAAGCUUUGCCCGUCCUCCAUACUACUCUGGCAAAGUUUCUUCGCCUAUGUCCUGGAUAAAAUCCCCCCUUUCCUCUUCAUUAAUCAUGAUCUUAAUCUGUGUUUAUCAUUUAAAAGUAGCUAGUUAAUCACGAUUUUAGAAAAAAACAUGUUUACUCGAAAUUUUUGGAUUUGGAAAUCUAAACGCAAUUAUAUGCUACUUUUUGUACCCAUAAUCAAUGAAUAGAUAUUGAGCGAUGCUGUUACAUGUUUCUGCAAUCAGGCAAAAGAGACAAAUAUAAGCCACAAAUGGCUCAAAUUAAGUGAGAUCUUAGAAUCUUUGAAUUCAUAGAAACGAACAACGGAUCUUCAAUAACUGCUCCUCUGGUUGAUCACAUAAAGAGGCUAACUAUCUGCGUUCUGUAAUCGAUUAAGCAAUAGUACGAAUGGUUUUUUUCAACUCAUUGGGAUCAUGAUGUGACUGGAAAGUUUUAUUUCUGUUGAAAAUUAAAUUAAUUAGCUUCAUACUCUUGCAGAACAAUAAUCUUCCAGUGGGAAAACAAGAUGGGAAGAAAAGGAAAGAAAAGAUCACUUUCUGUCGACUUCUACAAUCAAUAAAAAGCUCCAUUAAUUAACCAAAAAAAGAAGAAGAAGAAGAUGGAUCUUGUAUUGGUUCGUUGUCUUUAAGUAUUUCUGCACAAUAUUGUCUUGUUUUGACAAGUGAUAGUCGCACAUAGAGGGCAGUCUCUUGCAAGCCUUUCAAAGCAAGAUGCAAGUAAACACAUAUGCUCGAACAGAGAACUUAAAUUGCAUUUGCUUACUUUGACAAGUUUAAUGGCUUCAUCCUACGUAUGGAUGGAAGCAGUACUUUAGUUAUUAUCUGCCUGCUAAUUUUAAGAAAGAUCUUUUAUAUGUUUAAAUUUGCAGAAAUGGUUGCAUAUCAGAAAGACCUUCUCAAGAGUUGCUCUCUCAAGGAAGUAUGAAACCAUCCUCCAUACACUCACAAAGAACCAGGGUAUAUGUACAAUGUAACACUUGGCCAAGCACUCAGGGUAGCAAGCCAACACAAAUAAGAGAUUCGAAUGUAAUAUCGUAACGAGAAAGAAUUGCACAACUCCAAGGUGAAUGAGUAGGACCAGUCAUUGUGUCACGGUAAAACAGGAAUCUUUCUUGAAUUUGAAUGUGGAAAGAUCUGAUCAUUGUCCUUUUCCAUGGAUCCGAAUUUUAUCUGACCUUAAGUUUAAAGAUCUCAGCCGAUAACCUUAAUGAUCCAUGGUUUGACAUGAAUCUAUUACAGUAAGUCAGAACAAGAAUCUGUCUUGAGGAAUUUGCUAACUGAGGGUAGUAGCACUAAAACCAUUUUCCAAUAGAGGUCCUAGAAUUACACUUAAAUUAGGGAUAUGAAGAACCUCACAUGUAAAAUUUAAUGGCAGCAAGGUAAUACUUUUUGAACAGCAUAGAAGUCUACUCGGAGAAACUCAAAUUCAACGGAUGUUUCUGCAUGCUGAUUGAAUUUUCUAAGCUUCAUGAAGUCAUCUGCCUAACUCUUGACUGGGAUCAGAAUAGAGAACGAAGACAAACAGGUGUAUGGUCUUGAUUUAUGCCCAAUCUGCAACUCCAAAAUCUUGUUGAAAUUCUAGACUAUGAGGAAUAAUAUUAAAAAAAACAUAGUUACGAUAUUAUCAUUAGUCUCUCCAGUUGUGUGAUUUUGAAAUGAUCGUCGCUACCAAAAUGUUGAGAUUGACUACCGCAUAACAGAAAGUUAUCGCUAAAAUAAUUAGAAGCUAAUAUCAAAUGUUUUAAUCCCAGAUCAUCAUUUAUUAUUUUGAACAUAGAUUUCAAUAUGGCCAAUCAAUUUUUGUAUAAUUGCUAGUUCUUUCCACUAAUUAAGUCAUAAGAUAAUUGCUUUGCACAGUGAUUUUAGGAGAAUUGUAAUAUAAUAUUUUGUUAAUAAGCGCAUUUGUGAUAUUAAGAAAUGUUAGAAAGUGAUUCCUGAAAACAGUGUGGUUGAAAAACACUCCACCCAAAAGGAUAAUUCAUGUCUGUUUCUUUUUUAUAUCUUAGAUAGAGGUAAUCCACGAAUUGGACACUAGAGGAACGACAUGUAAGGUUGAUCUUUAAAACAGUCAAGAUUUACAUCACCAGAAGAAUAAAAAAAAGGGCAAAAUACACUGUGUCCUCCAGUGGUUUAGCAUUUUUCACAUAACCCGCUUAUGAUUUCAAAAGUUACAUAUAACUCUCUUAUGGUUUCGAUUAAAGUAUUAAGGUGAAAAAAAUUUGCAUUCCACAACGGAGUCAACUAAAAUGUCAAAAUUAUCCCUAUGUAAAGUUAAAAAUUAUUUAUUUACUACAGGGGAUUCUAUAUAUAUUUAAAAAUCAUAAGGAGAUUAUAUGGUAAAACAAUAAAUCAUAAAGAAGUUAUAUGCUAAAAUAUAAAACCAUAUGGGGCUAGAGUGUCAUGCAUAUUAUAUUUAUAAAUUUUUGUCACUUCACCCAUUUUAGUUUUAAACAAGAAUAACUUAGAUAUUUUCAUGAGUUCGGUUAUAAAUGAUCAUUUCUAUCGCUUUGACACUUUAAUUCAAAUUAUGAGAGGUUAUAUAUAGUUUUUAAAACUAUAGGUGGGUCAUGUGAAAAUUUGCUAAAUCACAUGAUAAUAAAGUGUAUUUUGCCAAAUAAAAAAUGAGGGAUGAGAGCUGACUGAAAUUAUGCAGAAGGAUAACGGCUAGAUCAGCAUCUUUGAAUCAUUCCUAGCUAGUAUACAAGAUAACCAUCAAAAUCUCUGAAAUUUCUUAUGUAGAAAAUUGGUGAAGAAGAUUAACGUGUACACGCAAGUUAAUAGCAGCCAAUCACCCUUUGUAAACCGCCAGCUGUGGCAUCUUGAAAACACAAUAGCUACUAGUUCACUUUGAAAGUUAGAAACACCAUGAAGUUCAACUACACCUUGUCCCUUUUAGUUUCGUGCUUCAUUUUAUACUUAACCUUCACCAAUGCUGCAAAUUUCAACAUUAUAAACCAAUGUACCUACACAGUUUGGGCAGCUGCUUCCCCAGGGGGUGGCAGGCGGCUCGACCGAGGCCAAUCGUGGUCCCUAGAUGUGGCUCCUGGCACCACCAACGCUCGCAUUUGGGGCCGAACAAAUUGCAACUUUGAUGCCAAUGGCCAAGGCCAGUGUCAGACAGGUGAUUGCAACGGGCGCCUCGAAUGCCAAGGCUAUGGAAAGCCUCCGAAUACGCUAGCUGAAUUCGUCCUAAACCAGCCUAACAACUUAGACUACUUCGACAUUUCCCUCCUUUAUGGAUUCAACAUCCCAUUGGAGUUCAGCUCCGUUACUCCUUGCCAUGAUAUCAGAUGUUCAGCGCCUAUUGUUGAUCAAUGCCC
rnacentral:lncRNA from 1 species